UUAUUAGAAUGUUUAGAGUGCAAAAUAAAAAUUACUACAACCGAACAUUGUGAAAAAAAUUCUAGUGUGAACACAAUGGCAGUUCUUGUUCUUGGCAUGAAUUCCAAAGACUACUUCUGUAAAAAUGUAUCAUUGUUAUAGUCUUCACCAAACAGAAAUACAAACAAAAACAUAUGAAAUGCGAAAAUGUUAUUUGUCUUGGUCGUUAGGACGUGACAUUCAUACCACUUCAAAAAAUUAAAGCACAUUAAACCAGAGACAAAAUCUAUUGAAAUUCUGUGUGGUUGAAAAAGUGAAAACUGUUAAAUAAAAAUAUAUUCCUAUUUUAUUUUUUAGAAAAAAUUUAUAUAUUAUUUAAUUAAUUAGUUUAGUAUAUAUUUCUCAAAAUUGGUUAUAAAUUAUGUAGUAUAUAUAUUUACUCUUUAUUCUCAAUAAAAAUAUCGGUUUCUUUUUCAUUUUUUUUCUCUAAUACGUUAAAACUCAACAAAAUCAAUUCAAAAAAAUCAAAUUUAAUUGGUUUUGCUUCCACUCCACUCCUCUCUGUUUGCUUACGCUCCCCUAUAUCUGUUCUUGCUUAGUCAUGCACAACAAUACACAGUUCAAUUCACCGAUUGUAUGUCUCUGAUUCAUGGCUUGUACACCACGAACUUCUUCAUGGGACGCUUGCACAGUUGACAAAUUACAGUUCCUUGACUCAGUCUUCCAUUUUUACUCGAGGGAACAAAGUAAGAGUGAGUGCAACUCCCUCCAACAAAAUCAGUUUCUAGGAUGUUUCUUGGAGAACCCCACAAUCCAAACUUGGUUAUAUUUUCUCUCCACACAGAACAUUUCCUUAAGAAUUCCAUCACCUGCAUCCCUUGAAGCCUGAUAGUAUCUGUUGAACCCCCACUUCCAAUCACUGCCCAACCUUCCUCCCUAUCAUCCAUUUCAAGCAAAGCUGACAACUCUGCUAGUACAUAAUCACCACUUGGUGUCUUCCCUAGUCUGAGUUUAGACCUUAACAUACUCGCCAACCUAAGCCAGAAGAAUUGCACGUUUGUGAAGGAAAGUGGAUCACUGCGACUUGUUGCACCACUUCUUGCCAUUAUUUGCUUAACACGUUCACCCAAUUGACUAUUACCAACAUAUAUUGUUUCCAGCUGCAGACCUACUCGUUUGAGCUCAUUUAUCUUAUCAUUGAAUUGUUGGAUCCAAACCAAGUUUUCACUCCCAUAAAGGCAAAUACUUUUGCCUUGCUCAACCUGACACACGGUACAAUGUCAAAUCUAGUAACAUUACGUGAAAUCAAACUGUUAAAAUCUGCAUGAAAAUAUGCUAUAAUCAGACUCCUACCCAAUAAGCAAGGAGAGGAUUGAUCUCAUCCAGCAAAAGUUGCAUUGUCAAAUUUUGGUCUUGCCACAGCUCUUCCUCUUUGGAAGCUGAAAAAGGGUAAGCUUUGGCUCCCCAAAUGUUGAUCAUAUCAAGAGCAUUGUAAUUUGUGACCUUCCCUUUCGAAUCUAGAGCCACCAUGAUGGGCUCAUCCUUGUAGUUCCAUCUUUCCCUUAUGUACUUGACCACUGCUGGGCUAAGUAACCUUGGUUUCCGAACAGCAUGCCAAGGCAAGGAAUCUGACAAAAAAUUAAAACUACUUUCUUCAGCUUCAGUCCAUGAAUCAGAAGAUGGAAGGGGAAUCCACACAAUCUUAUAACUCUCCUUCAGCCUCUCAUUCAGAGGAUGAUCGCAUGUUUUCUGGACAAGUAAGAAUAUAUCCACUGGGCUGAGUAGCUGUGGUUUUGUGAUCAACAACAGAACUAUCUGGUUUUUCAGCUCAGACACACCUAACUGUUGAUAAAAGAGGAUUUACAUUAGAAGAUUGCUAAGGCUAGACAGAAUAUAUUAGCAAGUUGCAUUUUCAGAAAUAUUUUAACAAAUCUGAAACUAGCUAGAGCUAUUAACAUACUUCCGGAAAACAAACAAGAGUGCAUUGAAAAAUCCUACCAAUGUGUUAUUCAUUCAAAUCCCACCUAUGCGUAUAAUCUAAAUUUAAUAAUUCGUAUGUUCAAAAAAUGAGAAGUGUUCUCAUUACGUAUAUCCCAAUAUGCAUAGGGAGUUUCUUAUUUAAGAAAUACUACUCUCCUUUGCAUCAACUUGUCUUCUUUUGACUAAUAUGUAUAUGUAUUUAUAUAUUUAUAUGUAUGUGUGUGAUUGUAUAGUUUUCUUAGUUAAAGUCUCAACUUAAAUUAUAUGUUUGCCAAAAGUAUGUUAACACUCUAGAUUCACGAUUCUCUGGUAUAUCCUUUUAUUUGCUUCUAAUCCACUGAUGUUAGAUUUGUUCCUAAAAAUAUAAUUAUGUGGGCGUAAAUUUGCCUAUUUAUACCCACUUCAUUGUUAAGAAGAGUAUUAGCAAAUUAUAAUCUUUAUUUCCUCAUAAUACACCAAAAACUAUAGUUUACUAAAAUAAUCCUUCUAAAAGUAAGUGGUUGUGGUUAGGAUGAUGUGUUUCCCACCACAAUCGAAGAGCAUAAUACCUUUACUUCUGUUGAGCAAUCCUUCAGUGGCAAGUAAUUGUUUGAAGGAAAAAAUAAAGUGAGAAUCUUUUGAUUAUCAAUGUGCUCCUCACGAGCAAGAUCCGACAGCCUCUGAUACAAGUUUCUCUCUGAAACAUUAUAAAUCACUGAUCUUAGUACAUAAAUCAGAAUUGUUUAAUAAACCUGUCACUGUAAGCAUUAUUAUGAAGCUAAAAAGUAACCUAUUUCUUCGUAACACAGAUCCACCUGUCUUCUAAGAUUGCAGCCUGUGCCACUUAAUCUAUACGCCAAACUUGAAAGCUCCCAAGCAGCAAUUAUUGCUGAAUCUGAGUACCUGAAAUGUGUGGAUACCAAUACAUCAAAAUAUCAUCCUAGGCAAAAAACUUACGUGCUUUUCAAACUGUCAACAAUUCUGAGAGGCUAUUCAAAUAUAUAAAAAGAAUUAUGCAUGUUUGACAGUAUUGAUCUGAGCCUCAAAGAGAAGAAACAUGCACUUGCUCAUGUUGUUUGGUUGUGAAGUCCUUGACUUGGGAAAAACAUGCUAAACAGCUUCUGGCGACCCAGUACGCAGCUUCGUAUAUUUGAGACUUUGUGACACGGAAUAUACGAUUUCCAUGCUCUACAUGUUGAAGAGGCAAGUAUUCAAACUUAAUUAUACACAUAGCCACAUCCAUCAUGGUCUCAACCAACAAGCUCAAUGCCUUGAUUUGUAGCUUCAGUGGCUUUAAGUUGCAGGGAAGCCUCUUAAUACUUGAAAUUAAAGCUGCCAAACUGUUACCAUGAUGUAGCUGCAUAAGUUGCCAAAAUUCACCAUAUCUUACAGCAAAAGCAGCAAGCACUAGAACUACUUUUGCGUCCCAGCUAUACUUCCCUAUCAAAUCAAACAAAUUUAUGACCCUUGAGUUAAUAUCACCUUCACCAGAGCAUCUGCAGAGCAUCUGCCCACAAAAUAGAUAUGUUAAUCAUAAGUCUAACAGCAAAUGCAUGCACUCAGAUUGUCAAAACAACAAACAUGUAGAAUACCUUGCAUAUUUUUGUGAUGAUGAAUCCAACCGAUUCACUACAACCAAUCGUUUCUAUUUCAGUUAUAUCCGUCUUGUGAAAGGAAGCAGAAUAUAAAUUAGAAGUCACCUGAAACAAGCCAAUAGAAAUUAUAAUCUGAAAUCCUCAAUACAGGUAAUAUGUUUUCUAUGCCAAACUCAGUUUAAUGAAUUUCUUGUUAGCGAUAAUUUUAAAAAUGGUAUGAGAUUGCAUGAGUUUAUGGCUACAGCAUGAAGGGUGUAUCAAGGUGGACAAAAAUUACUAUUAUUUUGGAAGAAUGAAACAUAAUGUUGCCCACUGCAAGAAGAAUUGCCUCAGAAUCCAACCUACGACCAUCUGGAUCAUGUGUAAGGAGGAGCUUCUUUAUAAGAUUAUCACGUUGCAUGUUUCAAAUUGAGAAAGAAAAAAGGAACUCAAGGUUGAAACAAGGUUGAAAUGCACAACAUGAGCAUGCCACACUACAAAAUUUACGAGAUUCUGCUAUCAUUGGAUAAUUCUGUAGCUAUAUUUAUAUUCUUUUGAUCUGGGCAAAACAGAAAGAUGAUGGGAACAUCAAUGUGUAUAUUGAAGUAUUCUUAUUAUGUUUAUGCUAAUUUAUAUGUGAAGGAUCUUUCCAGACUGAGGAUAUACAACAACAACGAAACAUGAGUCCAAUUCACACAUCAGUAUUUACCCCACCUCCAACCAAAAACUUUAAGGAAUGUUUGUCUUCAUCCUUAUAUGAUAUUUAACUUUUAUAUUUUUUACUUAACGUGGGAUUUAGACUCACUUAGAUUUUCAAUAAUUAUCAAAGGAGAAUGUCUUCUUGCUUUUUCUUUCCUCUUUCACUUUAUUUAUUUUGGUAUUACAUUACUGCUUCAUGGAUUUGUGAAGUAACUAUGUCACUCAGCAUGCGAAUCAGGUAAUUGACAUUACAUGUCUAUCAUGGGGGCUAAAGUUUUUUCAAUACAAUCUGAGAUUAUAAAACUGGAUUAUAUAAUCAAAGAAACAUCUUUAUCAAAAGGCAAUAUCUUCUUUUCUCUUUCUAUACGAACUUCUGAAAAUAGUUAAAUCAAUGCAACUGUUGUUUUUGAAUUAGAGGGACAGGGGAGGAAGUAAAAUACUUUUUUUAUGCUUUUCUCUUGUCAUAAGGCAAGUAAAAGAGCUUUGUCUUCUUUCUGGAAAGAUUGAUUCUCAAUUUCUCACAUCACAACACACAAACUUCAUUCAUUCCUCAAAAGGCAUUGGUUCACAUCGUGGUGAUUUUGACAACUACUUGAUUUCUUGCUAAAUUUUUUAUUAUGUAACUUUCCAUAAAGCUCUUUAUUCUUCCAUCUUCAUUCAGAUCACUAUAAUCAAAUUCACCAAUACCAUCAACAGGUUUUGAAUUAAAAUGUACAUAAAAUAAGCAUUUUCUUUGUCAUUCAUUCCUCGAAAGGCAUUGACAGUGUAAAUAAACGUCAUAGCAUAUAAAUCUUUUGAAAGAGUGUGAUCUCGGUAAUUUGGAACUAAAAGUCUUUUAGAAUACUCAAUUUUUCACAACAAAAAGAGCAUUCCGAACACUUUUAUGUUGUUUAUGAUAAUCUUCUAGAAUUCUUUUGUGAAUGCUUAUAAGUUCGAUAGAUUUUGUAUAUUAAUAUAAAUAAGCAUUGCACUUGUGACUGUCAAACAAAAAGUUAAAAUCAUGUUUGUACAGUACAAAUUCUUCAAUAUGAAAUUGAACUUUACAAGGGCGACGUAUCUAUUCUUAUUAUACAUUUAAAAACUUUAUAUUUUUGAAAUUACAUGAGCAUGUUAAUUUUCCAUAUAUGACAUUGUCGAAAUAUUUUAGAACUCUAAAUAUAUUAAUUGCUUAAAUGAUGAUGUUCACUGUAUAAUUAUGGAUGUAUAUAAUUUUUAAUUAUAUUGCUAGAGAGAAAUUUGCAAUUUUAUUGUAUGCCAGUUAAGACGAGUUCUUCCUGAGCUUUUCUAGACCGACCUCUUCCAGUCGAGCUUUAACAUUGAGCUCCUCGAGGUCAAGCUCUCUUAGGUUGAGUUCUUUCAGCUGAGUUACAAAGCCAAACUCUCCUACACUAAACUCUAAGACUCGAUUAUUCUCGGGCUGAGCUCCUUUGACCGUCCAUUCUGGAUCAACGAGUUACAACACGGUUAGAUUAAACAACAUGACCAAGCGAUUAUAAAUUGGUCAACCAGUCACAACAUGGUCAGAUCAAUAAUAGUAAUGACAAAUCAACCACUUAAUGUAGAUUAAGGUAGAUUAAAUAUCAACAAAAAGGUAAAAGUUCAUAGCAAUCACUGUAUAUAAAGGUAUGAGAUAUGACUUUAAGAUAAUAUUCACUUAUUGCUGAUGGAGCGAUUAUUUACUAAUUUUAGCAUUAGAGUACUUUUUACAGAUACCAUCCGAGCGGAUUUUAGACAAUGAUGAAACUAAGUAGUUGACGAUCCAAAAUCUACUCAAUCUAUAACACAACUCGUUCAGUCUACGAUAACCACAAGUCUAGUUAAGAAUUUCACAAAACAAACAAUAAAGUUAUCCAUAACAAUUUUAGUCAUGAGUUCAAUUUUGUAUGCUUCUCUUGUUUGAUGUUUACUAUGUUAUCAUAAGAUCACUAUGAGUAAACUUAGUGGUUUGUUUUUUUAUCUUUUAGUGAUUAGAUGUUUGUUUUUUAGCGUUUCCAUUGAGCAUAAAUCAUUACAUUAAUAUACUUUCAUUCAAGUGUGUAAUAAGUAUUAGUGAUGUAUUAACCAUAAAUCAUUAUGGUCUUAUGAAGAAAGUAGAAGAUUAUAGGUUUGAGAAUCUAUUAAUGUUAAGUUUAAUGAAUUUGUUUAUUCUCUAGACUCUCACAUGAAUGUUUUGUCUUGCUUGUUUUAAUAUUUUUUUAUUCCUAAAUAUUGAAUAUGAAGACAUAUAUUAGUGUUUGAAGUACCUUAUGUUUGAUAUAUAUUCAAUAUGUAAAAUAUUUUAGUAUAAUAAAUAUCAUAUUAAUUCAAUAAUAAUUGUUUAUCAUAACUCUUGAACAUAAUUUCUUAUUAUAAUUUCAAUUGGUUAAAACACUUUAAUUUAAUAAUUAUUGUUUUGAGUAUUAAAUUUAUAAUCUAUAAAUUCAAAAAACUAUUGAUUUAUUUAUAAUUAAUUAUUAUAUUUGAAGUUUUAUGAUAUAAUUAUAUAUUUUUAAAGAUUUUUUUACUAUCUAGGAAUCUAGAUACAAUAAAAGAUUGUUAUUUAACCUUUUUAAUGAUAAACUAUGUACGAAUUUUUUAAAUAUAAUUUUGUAUAAAACCUCUCUUAUUUGAUGUUGGCUCGAAUAUUAUAAUUUAAGAAAAAAUCUAAUAUGAACAUUGUCACUUUCUAUUAUAAUUUAUAUGUAAUUUCUAAAUUCGAUCCAAAUACUCGUAAGACGUUUUCCAAGCCCUAAUCCCUACUCACCCAAAAUUUAGAAACGUGUCGUCUAUGUUGUUCAGUCGUCGGAGUAGCUUCCAAACCUCUAACGGUGUCGCCUCCGAACACAGCCGUUAUCGUUUCAAGUACCGGACAAACAAUGUAGAAUCUCUUUUCUUUUCAGUAAUCUUGGAAUUUCAAAUUCGGUGGUUUUGAUUCGUAACCAAGGAAAUUAAUUUCAAUUUGCUAUUGUAGGGGUGCUGUGAAAUUGAAUAUUCGUAAUUGUUCGCAGAGAGUGGAUGGCGUUGCCGCCGAGCCGGAACCUGAUUGGAGCUUUGACGAUCUUGUUUCGGAACUCAACGAUUUGGAGACGAAGCUCGCUAAUGCGACUUCUUCCGCCGAACGCUCUAUACCUUUCGAAAAAUCAAGAACUCGGUAUAUAUUUUCUCUCUUUCAACUUUUGGUUGUGGUUAUUGCGAAUUUGAACUGUGUUGACGGUUGAGGCGUGUCCAGUGGGAGAGAAAUCGAGAAAGGGAGACCUUUCAUAUUGCGAGCCGAUGAGUAUGAGAUGGAGGACUCGGAGAGCGAGGAUGAUGAUCACGUAGACAAGGCAUUGGUAGUAGCUGGCAGUGCCAAACGGUUCACUUGUGAUGAACUUUAUCUGAGGUGCUCAUUUCUUGAACUUUAGAUUUAUUCAAAUAUUUUGAAUAGGGAGAAAAAUUAGCUACAGUUACGUUAGCGCUGGUUCUUCAGUUAUCCGAUUAGAAUUGGGCCUGGCCUUCAUUCGUUAAUUUUCAUAAUAAAGAUUUACAUUAGGGAUUAUGCAGGUUAUGGAGGAGAAACCCUAAUUCUGAUUAGAGAAUAAUACAAAGAGUACCUAAGGAACUGUCAUUAAGUUAUAUCUGUUGAAUAAUGGAAAUGUCAACAUGGAUAUUUUUUUCUAGAAAAAUUGGGGUUGUCUUUAUAUUGGGUGUUUUGAGAGUAAUGUUUGCAUUUCCUUUGGCGUUUCAGUGACAGUGAUGACGAUUCGGACAUUGUUUCUGGUUUUGAAGUGCGACCUUGCUUGAUGGAUGAAUUGGGAGAGGUUGAAGGUGCCUUGUUUGAGUUGGCGCAGGAGCACCAGCUUAGGGUUAAGGUGAGGUAUGGUGUUGAUUGAUGUCAAUGCACUUGUUACCUGUUUGACUUAUCAGUUAAAAGUUGGAAUAAUUUGUCUGGUGGAUCACUGUAUAACUUGUGAUAAAUUGUGAAUCAACCUCAUGGUUUGUUUUGUUAUGUGGUUGACAGGAUGAAAUUAGGAAUAAGAUUUCGGCAUUGGAGACAGCUUUGGUGAAUGAAACUCAGAAUUCUGCUUCUUCUCUCCUUCGAGUUGAGAAAUAUAAAGAAACAAGGCAGGAAUUGGAUAAAAAGUUUGACACUCAAUAUCAGCGUAGGAUGUACGAUUUCAUUAUCUCCCCACCCCUCAUCUCUUCUUUCUAGGCAUUAUGAUUUUUCUUUCUUCUACGUAUCUGUCUUGACAGACUUUUUUAGUUUUCUAGUUUUCAAUGUAUUGUAUUUCUAGUUUUCUGUCAGAACUUUAAACAGUAGAUUGGUUUUACUAGUGUCUAUUUUUUCUAUUUGUUUGGAAUGGGGGCAUAAUGUGUUUUGCAUUUCUCUUUAAAAGAUAAGAUUAACCAUUUUGUGGGAGGAAGAUUGUUGAGAUCAAGGAAAAGGUAGAGAAGAUUAUAGAUGAAGAAGAAAACAUUAUGAAUUAUUGUUAAAAACUACAAACUGAUAACUUAUGUAGAAAUACAAAUACUAACUAACGUAACUAGCAAUAUCUCUUAACACCCUCCUCAAACUCGUGUCGGAGAAGUUGGUAACUAUAAGCUUGUCCCUUGACACUGCAAACUGCUUUCAUGAGAUAGGUUUGCUAAGGACUGUCCUGAACAAAGUAAAGAUCCAAUUCAAAAUGUUUGGCUCUUUAGUGCAAGCUAGGAUUAUCUGCUAACAAAUAAUUCUAACAUUUGUAAAUAAAGACGUAUCACUUUUAGCUGAGUGAAAACCCAUUUGAUGAGUCUAACUUGGUUUAUGGAAACAGGACCUAGGGGCUUGCUUUAGACAGUAGAUAGCUUUGUUUAAUCUGCACACUUCUCCUUAAUCACUUGAAGUGAAUUAUGGUGGCUGUAGCAUUUGAACUGUUCCUUCUAAAUUAACUUGUAAGAAAGCAUUGUUGAUGUCAACUUGAUGAAUGGGCCGAUUGAAAGAAAUUGCAAGAGUAAGAACAAUAUUGACAGUUGUUGGUUUGAUAAAUGACUGAAUGUUUCAGAGAAGUCAAAUCCUUCUGUUUGAUGAAAGCCUUAUGCUACUGAUCUGGCCCUGUGCCUUUGAAAACUUCCAUCUGCAUUGCACUUAGAUUUAAAAAUCCAUUUGCAUCCCAUGAGGUAAAUCUACAAGAGGCCAUGUGUUGUAAGACAUAUUAGCCUUCUACUCUAUUGCAUAGCUUUAGAUCACUCAGGUUUGUUUAAAGCCUCUUUUCCCGAGGUAGGCUCAAUUGUAGGAUCAUAUUAUCUAUUCAUAGCAGCAGCAUAGGUUUAAUAGGUUUGAAUAUACCAGCCUUAGCUCUUGUGGUCAUAGAAUGCCUAUUUGUUACAAUUUUCUCGAGAACACACAACAUAGGACCUGUAUGAAGCUGAGACACAUUAGGAACUGAAUAUUCAUUUGUAUCAUUUUCAUUCUGUAAUUCAGUACCAGAAACAGUAUCAUGUUGUUCACUCUCCAAUUUUUUUAGUGCAGAAGCACUUGAUAAUCACUUGACAGCUGUUCAACGGGACCGUGAACUCAAAUCACAAAUAGAAGAAAGGAAAAUAAGAAGUGAUGCAGCUUACGAAGAGGCCAAGAGAAAGGCUGCUUUUGAAAAGCUGCAGCAAGAAAAGGCUAGAGCUGAAGCAGAGGUACCAGAACCUUUAUAUUUUAGUUGAUUGUGCUUGUUAUUUGUCAAAUUGUUAUGCAUUUAUGUUUUUAAAUUGCAUUUGACAUGAAGCUGAAAACACCUGAUGAGGUUAGUCUGCAUAGGUCACAACCUUUUAUCUUAAUUUUUUUUAUAGAAAGUACAAACUUUGGCCCAAAUGCCCUUUCAUUAAUUACUUUCAAAUUUUGUGGGUGCAGGCCAAAGUUAGAGCUGCUGAGGAAGCAAAACGAGAAGCUGAGAGAAAAGCAGCAAUGGAAGCUAGAAAACAGGCAGCAAUUGAAGCUGAAAAAAAAGCAGUAAAGGAAGCCAGUGAAACUUCCAAAAGGGUUACUUCUGGAGGGACCCAACAAGCUGUUGGGGAUUCAACAGAUACAUCAAACCUAUCCAAUGCUGAAAACAAGGAAUAUGGUAUUAGUUUUCUUCUUUUACAUUUAUGAUAUCUUUCCAAUGCCACUGUUAGUUUAUGAUGUUUUCCUGUUUGUCAACAUCUAGUAUGCAAGAACGCUUGCCUUUGUUUCAGACCAUUAGACUAUUACUUAGUUGGAAAUUUGCUUUUUCUUGCCAUAUUUCUAUUCUAAAGAAAUUGGUUUUCUUCUUGUCAUAUCAGCAUUCUUUGGUGAGGCUACCUGCAUAAUCUGGUGUGAUUUACCUGUUUGAAUGUUUAGAUCUAUUAUCUAUGCAUUGUUAGUUUUUACAUGUUUUAUCAUCCAAGAAAUCAACUGACUUAAAACAAUCUUCAGGUAAUUUAUAUCGAGCUGCACCAAGUGCUUUGAAUCUAGAACAGGGGAGACUGCAGAAAUUCAAAGAGCUAUGUGAGAGAAACCAAAUGAUAAGAUCAAGUUCUAAUAAGGUAUUCUUGAAAGGACAUCUUGGGGAUAUUCAUCUCAAGGUUUUCUAACUUACAAGCAACGACAAUUUUUGUUGAUUUUUUUAUCAUAUAGUUCAAUAUUAUUCUAGAUAAUAUAAUGUAUAUUUUUAACAUUCUUAUAUUCACCUAUCUGAGGCUUGAAAUUUUUGCAGCACAAGAAAGUUGCUUCUGUCUAUCUCACUUUAUUGACUAACUAGCACACUUUGUGUCAACAUCUGUUCAGGAUUACACUCGGCACGAGGGUAAUAUUUCCCGGAAUAUAAGGCAAAUAAGGGGUGUAAGAGACAAUGUCAGGUAAAGUGAAUAUUUAAUUUUGCUAACGCAUACCUUUUUUUAUUAAUUUUUCAUGGUUUCUUGUACCAUCAAUUCUUUCUAAGGGGCAAAUUUUAUGUUCUAAUUGUUCCUGUUUCAAAACUGUUGAAGAAAUGUUUCAAUCUGUGCCUAAAAGUAACAAGAAUAUCUAAGAAAUGUAGACUGCUCAAGGAUUUUAUUUCCAAUAAAGGAAAUCCUUAUCCUUGAAUAGGAUAUUAUUAAUACGUGUCUGUUUACUCUUUUGAACAUUUUGUAGGUCAAAAGCCAGCGAACUGAUUAAACUUUUGAAUGAUCCUCAAUGUCCUCAAUCAGUCAGCGUUGAGAUAUUUGCUAAAAAGGUAAUUUGAUAUUAUUGAUCUUUACUGUUUCUUUCUUUCUGCUUUACCAGAACACAGACGGCAGUAAUAAUAGAUUAAUAUUGGAUUUAAAUGUUUUUACUCCUUAAAAUUGGAAGUAAAUCAUUUUUCAGUCUUUAGUAAAAUACGGUUUGAGUCCCUAAACACUAAAUUUGAGUGGCUAGAGUUUUAAAAAACCGUGGUCCUUCCAAUACUGUUUAAGAACUAAAAUUGUAGAUUUUUAACAUUUUAAGGGACUGAAAUAAACUUUUUUUGAAUGGGACCAAAAUCAGAAUUAUCCGAAAUGUCAAGAACUGGAAACAUAAUUAAGUUGAGCCUUAAUAUUAAAACUGGGUUCAGUUGUUUGUUUUAGAUGUGAACUUCUCAUCAAUUGACAGUUAAAAUACUACUGAUAAGUUAUGAUUACGCCCCCUUUUGCUUUGAAUCCUUACAAAAAAUUAUAUUUAAAUACGUUCUUUUGUUAUAUCUUUUCCAGCAGUAUCCUCAUAUAGAGUGACCUUUGUAUAGCUGAUUUAAGCCAACCGUACACCUUUCUUUUGGCACUUCAUCAUGAGCUUUUUCUAUGUUAAAAUUUAACCACAUGUUAGCCUAUUGCUUUUGCUUUGGAACCUAUCUAUCAAGACCGAUGGUUAAUGAUAAUCAAAUAAUGUGGCUAAAAUCCAUAUAAUUUGGCUUUAAAAUUCUCGAAAUGAGGGACACAUUAUUUCGAAAAAUGGGAAUUUGAUUACCUAUCUAUGGUUAUUACUAGACAAAGCUGCCAACUAACGACAUACUUCACAGGUUGUUUCGUACUGUGAAAACCCCGGUAAUGCUCCCUUUGCCAGUGCCUAUGUCAUCGUUCUUGUUACAUCUCAGGUACAACAUCCUUAAUCCCAGGCAUCCAGAGACGCACAGAAUGAAUACAUAUUUUUUAAAAUGCAAUUAUUUAUAUAGUUUUCAAUGAUUUAUCAUUUGCAAGGCAGAUUCCACACGCAAUGGAUAUUUUGCUUGCCGAGCUUCACAUGGCUUGCCUUUAUACCGUUCCAAAGCACCUGCUUUACAAGAAGGUACUUUCGUGUUGUACAGAUUGUGGUAUGGUUGUGUGAUUGAGGAAGCAAUGAAUUUUAUAUACUUGAACUUUCUUUAAAGUCAUUUUGAAGGUGGGGAAGUCUUUUUCUAAAUAAAAUUCGUUUGAUGGUCAUAUCACAUUUUAUCUUAAUAACAGGUCUGGCCCAAUUUUUCUGAGAUAAGCAAAACGGUCAUGCUUUAACUGGAACUGCUACAGUGUAGACAUUAGCUAUCCAACUUUUCUGAGCAACUACAUUCCAUAAAGAACGAUAAUUUACUUUAGGCAGAAACGAUAAUUGUGCAAUGUCGGAUAUAGAUAUAUGAAAAAUCUCUUUUAAUUCGUUCUUGUCAUUAUUCUUCGCUGCCUCGUAUUUCAACUAAAUUUAUUACAUUAAUCAUUAAUGGAGGGUAAUUAUGCAUUCUAAAAAAGGAUCACACGUAUUCUUCAAAUAUAAUCUAAAAAGUCGGGGUUGAAUCUGCAUUAUUGAUUUUGCUGUGGUCAGUCCGCCUUUCAAUCAAAGGAGGCAUACUUCAGAAGUAUUGGUUAUCGAGAAGUGGAUGGAAAGUUGGAGAGUACAGAAGAUUAUUUAAAGCGGUUAGAAUCAUACAUGAAGGUGUAUGGUGCACUGGUUCAGGUCUGUCAUAAAUAUCAAAUUUUUAGAUAUUUACAUUGACCAGAUUUCACUGAGAACUUGAUCGUGUUUAUUUGUUUCAACAGACUGAAACUACGAACGUUCAAAAUUUCCACGGCUUGCCAGAAGGUUGGGCGUGGCUUGCAAGGUUCUUGAACACACUCCCAGCAAAUCAUUACACAGCUGUUUCGCUCAAUGCAUUCUUGCAAGUAAGUAAUCUAGAAUUUUGAGGUACUUUUUACGUAUAAAUCUGUUGAGGUUAACAAAUUCUACUUUGUCAGAUGGCAGGAUUUGCUCUCUUUAAAAGAUAUAAAUCGCAAUUCUUAAAGAUGCUGAACGUCAUCUCUGAGAACUUUUUAGUUGAUUUGAAAUCAAGGAAUAUACCAGAAUUGACGAAGACGAUUACGGAGAUACAGACUUAUAUAGAAGAUAAGAAGUUCCUUCAAGAGCCAGAAGGAAAGAGCCUGCAGUCUAAUUUGUUAUCUAAUGUGUAUGUUAAUUAUUGAAGAUUGAAACUUUUUACUUCAAUAGAAACUAGGUUAGGGAAACCGGCGAUUGUUUUAAUUUAAAAGGUCAGGCAUUGCGCAAGGGUCAGCAAAGGCCACUCAGUAGUUGAGCAACUUUAAUGUAUUUUACUCUGAUAAACAAAGAAUAGUUCUUUUACCCUGAAAAUAGAAGGAUUCAUAGAUUAUUUGAACUGAUUUUAUGCGGAGUCCUUGUGUGAUUUGAAAAUUGUAUGAUAUAAGCAUAGGGGUAGACAAAAUAAAUUAUACUGAACUUUUAAAAUCUACAGUGAAUCCAAAAAGUAAUUUAUCUGAAAUGAAUGAUGAUGAUCUGAUCUGAACAAUUUAUUUUAUCAUGUUACACUCUAUUAUACUAUGAACUUCUGAUUAAUUUGCCCAUUGUACCAGUAGUUUAGGCUAAUUUUCGUCAUACAAAGAUAAUGUUACUAUGAAUUGUGUCAGAUGAUAAUAUGACAUAAUAUAAGGAUAUACCACCAUUUUUUAUAUUAAAAGAUAAAUAUGUGCUUAUUAUUAAAUAAUUUUACUGUUUUAAAACUAACGCAUAUCGCCAAUUACCAUGUUUUGUCUAUCAGGAUGACUUCUUUUUGCAAUGUAAUGUGCAUUUUUCUUCGAAAAUGAUGUACAGACUUAGAUGGAGAAUAUAAAAGAGAGAAUAGUUAAGUAAUAUGAUGUGAUCAUAAGGAAAAAGAAACAAAGUGAAAUAAGAUAUGAAUUGAAAUGUUCUCAAUUUGUUUCAAAAAACAAAUUUAUAGCUCAUACGAACAUAGUUUAAAUUUUUCCCCUCUUCAAUUAUAAAAGAAACCAAAGUAUUUAUAUGAUGAAUACUGUUUUGAACAAAGCAAGCAUUUUUUAGACGAGUAAUUUUAUUUAAAUACAGGAGGCCUUCACCACAAACAACUACAUAUAUACAACCAACAGGGAAGACCAAUUCUUUACGUAAAAAACUCUUCCUGAUCCUAACUGGGCAUACAAGUUUCGCCCAAAAUUGUGAGCUGAUGAACAAGAAACCAUCCAUUAAAAGAGCAAGACCAACUCUCUGCACAUUAUUUCGCAGUCCUGUUUAUGAAUCAAGUUAAAUUAAUGACUUAAAGCAUAUCAAUAGAACAUUCACUUUGUAACCUUCUAACUUUAUCAAACGGUUAUGGCUAACCUUAUUCCGGAAAAGAGCUAAAUUUCCGCUGAUAGCACUUCUAAAGCAAAGCUAACUAGUAAAGCCUUAUUUUGGUUUUGAUCGUGCUCCGGCAAAUGGGACAGAAUUGGAGGUAUUCUCCACACUCACAACAAGUCUGCAACAAGAAUAAAUGCGUUGGAGAAGGAAAAAACUUAAUAUUAUGCUUAGUCUUUUUAGUUCUUUGCAUACAGCCUUAAAUACAAUAAUGAAGAUGAAUCACCUGAUGCCCACAACCAAAGGCCAUAUCUUUCGCAUUGGUGAGGCAAAUCGCACAAAGCUUCAGCAAACAAAGUCAUGUUAUGUAAACCAUUACUCAAAGGGAUACAGAAAUGAAAAUUUGUCAUUAUGAUGGCACUAAAAGUAGAAAGAUAAAGUAUAUCUUAGUUUAAUAGGAAAGACGUUUAGCAUGGACUUAAGACCUUAUUAUCAUAUAAAGAACUUGCAGAUGCCUCCGUUUGAACACUGUUGUCAUAGCUAGUGUGUGUAGGUGCUCUCUGCUGAAAACUGUUUGACCUUGUCGAUUUUGUGCUGACGCUGGAAGAAGUCCUACCAUAAAGAGGUGGAGGCAGAGCAACCCUGUCUGGUGAAUGACCCCUCCUUGCACUAUUUGUAUCAAUGGAAACAUGUAAUUUUCAAAUUUAGUUAUGGUUAUUAACUUUACACCAGAAAACCCAACUUAAGAGGCUACUACAGAUACCAUUUUUAAUUUAAUGAAAUCAUAUUGAGUACCCCAAUAUGCCAAGCUCUAUGGUUGCCUUAUAUUGAGAAGGUAUCUCCAUCAAAGCUGAAAGGGCAAAAUCUGUCUCUUUUCUGCUUGAAUCUACAUUCCUUGUCAUUAUUUCAGUAAAAUUCACAAACUACAUGCAGCCAUAUAAAAUAUCACAUUUCAGUAUAACAGGAAGAAUUGAACAUGAAAAGUUAAAAAAUGACAAGUGAAUUACACCAAACCUGAAAAUUGUCAAAUGCUCGAGAAGGGAUGUUAUCAUCAAAUUCCCUCAUCAUAUCCCAUGGUCCAUCUCCAACUCCCACUAAAACUAUUGAUAGUGGAUACUCACUGCAAUUUAAGAGAAUAUAAGAAUGCAGAAUUGUACUCCGCAUGCCAGAAAACUAAAAUUUUACCUUGCUUUAACUAUUGCAUCUAUUGUGUUCUUCUCUUGUGGACUCAAGUUGCCAUUUUCUGUGUCAACGCUUCUAGUCACCUGUGAUAAGUACUGAGUAUCAGUUUUUGAAGCCCUAGAAGAGAGCAGAAACAAUGAAUACCUACAGCAUGUUAGCAUUUCCAAGCAAAACCAAAUGAAGCUGUGAUUGAAUGCUACAACUACAGCAUUGCAAUUUCUUCAUUUAUGGUAUGAAACUUAUGAUGACUGAUUCCCAAAAGCGCUUAAGUUCAGCUCAACAGUGAGAAUAUGAACUAGAGAAUUACCUGUCCAUCUGCAAUUAUCAGCAAGACAUGAUAUUGGCCACCACUUUGCUCAACAAUUGUCAUAGCCAUUUCAAUAAUAGGGGCAAAUGAUGUGGGUCCUGCCACAUGAAUGUGGUGAGUAAUGAUGAACCUAAUUAAGAAACUUCUAAGAUAUGAAUGCAAUACCUGCAAGUUUGAGGUAAGGAAUAAUUUGUCUGUAUCGUGAUAGAACUUCCUCAAAUCCAUUGCAGAACCUCUCUUCCGAAAAGAAACUAAAUACAUCUUGGUCAUGUGUAGACGCUGAGAGAAAAUAGACAAAGGAGAAACACAAAUUAUGUUUGCAACCUGGACAUUAGAAAAACUUCAUCGGAAAAGUAGUUAGUUUCCUGUCAGACAUUACCAUCUCCAAAUCCAAAACAAGGAAUCAAGUUAUCUUCAUCAAAAGCUGAUAGAGUUUUCCCAAUAAUAGAAAUUGCUUGCUCAUACGGGUUUUGGCCACUUCCAAUGUCAUGUAAACUUUUUCGAUUGAAUGACCUCUUCCCUGAUUUUCAGGGUAACAUAUAUAUUUAUUUAGCAUUAUAAACUCGUCACAAAAUAUUCAAAAAUAAAAUUGUGAGUACGAGAUAACACCUGUCCACUCAUUGCUCUUUGUGAAAUCAAUGCCAACAAUGAGAUUAGAAGAUUCCAGCCCAGCAUUUGCAAGUGCAGCAGUAACCUAUAUUCAUUACUUCAUUAUUAGACAAAAAUAUAGUGUAUUUUCUAUAUGUAGUUGUAGAACUUCUAUCAAUUUCAAGAGUAUUGCAGUUAUUGUUCCCUUAAUAUGAUGAACACUGACGGGUUUUACUUGACAGCUAAAGCACAGAUACAUGAUGAGAAAACAAGAAAGUAGCAGCAUCUCUUUAGCCACUUCUUUCAGCUGAUCUUGUUUGUUUAACUUCUAUUACAUGGGCUCCAAGUCAUCAACACAAAACCUUAAGGGUCAAUGUUUUUGGGUCUUUAUUUUUCUUUUUAUGUCACUAAAAUUUUUCAUUUCUACUCAAUAUUGGACUUUCAGCUCAUACUUGAAUUCUAAACAUUUUCUUUGAAGAAAUAAAUCUUCGGUAUAACAAAAAGGUACCUCUCAAGUUUAUUAUUAUACUAGAUCAGAUUGCUCGCGUAAUUAUUUAUUAAACUACUUAAGAGCUGUCAAAGGAGUCUAACUUAGGGUGUGUGAAUUGCUGUAAGCUUUCUAUUAUGUGUUUUAAAAGCUACUUAAGAUGAACCCAGAUUCCUGGCAGAGCAAUUAAAAACAUCUCCUUUUAGACAAGUAGAUGAAUUAGAUGGAUUCCCUUCCUUUUAUCUUAGUUUCUAAUUUUUGAACUGUACUAAAUCGCGUUCACAUUGGCAUCAGGGAUAUUCUUGUUUAACUUAAGUCAAUGUUGCAAGUUGCAACCCCCAAGAAGACAAGAGUCAAUUAUAAUGACAACAAGCAAAUCAAAGGAGAUGGAAUAAUUGCUGAUAAGAUAUAAAAAAAAUAAAAACACUCAAAAACACUGUUCCAUGCAAUGAUCAAAUCACCUCAUCCAAGGAACGGUAGUUAUCAGCUAUCUUUGAAUACUUCCUAUCCAACUUCCUUUUCGGCUGAGCAUUAUCAUAAAAUGGAGCUGAUGCCGAUGCAUGGUGGUGCCGAGGUGUUUGAUAAGAAGGAUAUGGUGAUUGUGGAGGGUAUCCACCAUAGUUAUUAUUAUCCCAUGAAGAUGAAGAAGCACCAUAAUCAUACCUCCUACCACCUCCUUUCGAACUCUUUCCCCCCAUAACAAACUCCUUCACAAUGAACACCAAGAUGCACAGAACACCAACCAAAACUGUCCAAGUCUCUAUCUGCAACUCCAAAACGCACACAUCAUGUUUGUAUAUAUAACUCUGUGAGGGAAUCAAACCAAAAUAACCAAAAGGGACAAAAGCUCACAACUCUGAACUCAGCAACCAAUAAAUUUCUGGGAAAGUGGAAAAAAAAAAACUUGAGGGUAUGCAAAAUUCAGCCCAAAAUUGAUGAACGAAAUUUCGAGGUCACAAACACCGACAGCAGACCAAGAAAGACAGUGAGACAAUUCGAUGUACCUCCGGAUUCAUUGUUUCAACAAGAACACCAAAUCAAUUAUGACAGAGAGAAGAAGAGUGCUGUAAUAAGGAAUCUAGCAAGGUCAAGUCAACUGUGUUCACCCCUUUCUUCCACUUCAAACAACUUCUUUAAGAUCAUUAGUCUCUGUUAUCAACUAUUAAAAAAUGAACCAUCUUAUUCUACAAAAACUAUCUAUAAUAAAAAUAUGGAAGAAAAGAAAAAAUAAUCAGACAUGUUUACAUUUAAUCCAUACAUACAAAUGUAAAAAUGUCAUAAAAUAUGGUUUAUGCAUAACUUGGUUGAAUUUUUCCUUCAUUUUAAAUGGUUCAUUUGGGGUUUCAUGGGAAAUUUCACAUUUAAUUGUUUGUGUCAUGUUGACCAGUAACCAAUCAUUCUACUUUUCUAUCAUUUCACAAAGUUGACACGAAAUGUUCUUAGUAUACUUAUCCAGAGAAAGAUGCACAUUGAAAAUUAUUUUUCUCUGCGGAUUCUUCCUCGUGAUAACAGGUGUUAUACUUUUUGCGUAAAAGUUGAAUUUCAUGUUUAAAUAAAAUUGAUUAUUUCAAAACCAUUUUUAGAACUGAUAUACCGUAAUUUAUACGUAAAAGAUCAGCAAUACCUCCAAUACACCCUCCUCCUUUGGAAAUAUAUGGUAAUCUUUUCAUCUAACAUAACGAAAGUAGUAAAAUUCACUUGUUUAUGACACUCCAUUUUUUACCUUUUUUAGAGUAUAAAUAGUUAUAAAUAAUUCAAGUAGUUAUUUAAAAGUAAUAUAUAUAUAUAUAUAUAUAUAUAUAUAUAUAUAUAUAUAUAUAUAUAUAUAUAUAUAUAUAUAUAUAUAUAUAUAUAAUUCACAAAUAAGAUACAAAAACAUGAUGAAACAAUUCAAACAGUUAAGCAUUUAACUCUCUCAACCUAAAUACAUUGAUUAAAAUUAAAACUUUUUAACUUACACUUUGAGCUCUGAAUCUCUCCCACGAGUUCCUCUCCAAAAGUGUUUUAAAAAAUCUUUCAAUUUUCUAAGACUCACUCUCCAAAUAACUGAAAAGUAUCCCAAUUCAUCUAUUUAUAAUGAAACUCUCAACCCAAAAAUUAAAUUAUCUCUUGUAAAAAUAAACCAUAAAAAGCGGUUUAAAUAUAUUGUUACAUUCAAAAAAUCUAAUUCAGUUAGUAUGUCCUCUUAUAAUUAUAUUAUUUUGUUAAAAUAAUUAAUUUAAUAUUUAACAAUAUUUAAUAUUUCUUUAAUUAAAUAAUUAUUAACCAAUUUUUUAAAAUUAUAUAAUGACAAAUCAUUUUACCUUUUAUUUAAAAUAUUUAACUAUGUUUAUAUAUUCUCAUAAUUAUUAUAAAUUCUAAGAUCUCCACAGUUUAAUUUUACAUUAACAACAAAAUUUCAUUUUCUUAAUAUGUAGAGAGAAAUAAACAAUAUGGUAAAACAAAAUUAAUAUUAAGUUACCUCAUUAGUUAAAAAAUUAAAAAAUAAAAACUCAAUUGACAAAUAACAAAAGUACUUAGUAAUCAAUUAAAAGUAUAUAAGUUUAUUAAAAAAAUUAAAAUUUAAUCAAACUGUUUAUAGUAUAUUGUUGGUGCUCCUUCCUCUAUAUAUAAUAAAUCUAAUAAUAGAGUCUCAAUUUCACACUUCGUAAGUUUUUCUUGUUUUUUUUUUUUCCUUUUUGACUUCUUCCUACAUAUUAGGUUUCGAGUUUGGUAAAGAUUUGUUUAAAUUUAGAAAAAUCCAUUAAAUAAUAUUAAAGAAAAAAAAUGUUUAAUUUUAGUCUAAGCUUUGGUUUGAUUACUCCUUGUAAAUGACAUUUUUACUUGGAAACUUUUACUAAAAGUGUGACAUUAUUUAAAGGAAGCUUUCAAAUUCAGUAACCAUAUUGAAAAAGUUGCAACCUUUAAUAAGUCAUUGUCAAAUGGCAAGUCUAGCAAUAACGAAAAAGAGGACAACCCCCACUAAUUUCAACUGCUCAAAACAACAUUUUUUUCAUAAAUUUAUAUUUUAAAGUUUAGAUAUGACAUCUUUUGAAUCAUUUAAUUUGAUUUAUAUUUAAAAAUAUAUAAUUAACAUAUAAUUAUGUAUUGAUAAUGAAAAACACUUUUAAGUGAUCAAAUUUUGUAUAAUGAGAUGUGGUAUUUAUAUUGAAAUAUAUUUGGUAUACAAAACAUACUUUAAUUAUUACUUUGUAUUUAAUAUUAUGGUUUACCUCUACAUAUAAUUAAGGUUUAGAUAUGUUUCGCAGAAUGUUAUUAUAGCACUUUGGAGGUUGCAAGAUUCUUAGCCUUUCCAUAUAUUUCUACCUGUAUUUAAUUUUUUGUCUUUGGAAUGGAGUAAUUUUAAAUGUAUAGUUUGGCAUAUAUAAUCUAAAAUGUUUUUAUUUUGUAUUCCAAAAUAUAUAAUUUAGAAUGUAAUUUUUUUAUUCCUAAAAACAUAAUCCAAAAUCUAAAAUACAUAUUUUAGAUUGUACAAUUUAAAACAAUGUAAAAUAUAUUUUUAAUGUUAUAUUCUGAAAUAAAAAUGAAAAAUAAAAAAACUAUAUUCUAAAUUAUAUAUCUCAAAAUAUAAAAUUUAUGGAAAUAUAAGUAUAAAUACGGAGAUACAGAAAGAAAUUACCUUACAAUCAUCGAAAUUUGUAUAUAUACAAGUUAUUUUUUCACUAGGUUAUAGUGAACAAACAUCUUUAAUGUUAGUCUUAACUGUUUCUUGGUCUUUUAAAUUAAAAAUACUUAAUUUCUCAACUUAGAAAAAUAUGUUUUUAAUGUUUAAGCAUUAAACUUCAGAAAUUAAAAGUGUAUUUAGUUCUUAAAUAUAUUAUAAUUUGAUAUUAUUUCUAGUUUAUGUGAACCUUUUAACAAUUUUGAUAUUGGAAGAGGAGAAAGAUGGGGGUGGUUGGAUAUUUGGUAAAGAUGAAAUAGUAAUAUUAAUGGUAUUGUAUAAUAAGAUUAUUAUGUAAUGUAAUUAUGUGACUAUGAAGAUAAUUCUGUGGCGGCUACUUUGGACAGGUCUUCUCAGUGGACCAGAUAUGUCUAAUGUUUACACGUUUCACUUUCCUUUCAAUGGUUCCCACUUAUUUUUUAUUAAAGAUUGUUCACAUUAGAUAGAAUCGUUGUUAAGAGAAAAACUUAAACUCAAGUUUUACAUUAAUAAUUGAAUUUAAAAUCUCUAACUAAACUCCUUGUAAAAGGAUAGCAUAAAAAAAAGGAGAUAAUUUGCACUCUAAUCUUAGUCCAUUUACCUCCACAGUCAGUGAUGACUCAUCUUAAUUUCAUGAUUUGAAUUGUGUCAUAUCAAUGUUAUAAGCAUAAGUAUGUGCAGAAGUUGAUUCUAUUUUCUAAUUGGAUUUCAUGAGGACUGCAAAAAACAACAUCCCAAAGAUGGACUAUAAGAAAAAAACUUCAAACGUUUUGCCUAUAAUAUGCUGAAAUCAGGACAUACAGCCAGCAUUGGUGAUGAUGGUUUCGGUAAGUUGUUCAUGUAUAUACCAAAAUUCUGCGGAAAGGUGACAUUGUGGGACAAGCUUGUUUCUUUAAAGACCAUUGUUGGACCUUAAAAAUGCCAUUGUUGGACCCAACGCACUACAUCUCAUAGCUCUAUGAGACCAUGACUUCGAGCUUGAGCUCUUUCCUCUGCUCCACCCAUCAUCCUGCGCAAGCUUCGCCUUUUUUGCUUCUAAUUCCUUGCUAAUUUCUUCCCAAACGUUUACUUCCCCAUUUUCUGUAAGCAAAUCCACAUUUGUUUUAAUGUUUCUAAGAAUCGCAAGUGUACAUUACCUUUAACAGGGAUAAGACCUUACCUUCCCCUUCUGUAUGGCAACUAACCGCGGUAGUUCGAUCACCCUUAAGUUUUUCAUUAGUUGCUUUUGUUGGAUUUACAAAUGCAUCACCAGAAACAACUGCAGUUUUCGAUUCAAAAUGGCCAUGCUUAACCAUUCGAACGUCAACAAGCGAUGCAUAAUCUAUCUGUAGAAAGAAAGCAGUCAUUUUCAAGCAAAUAAACAAUCAGCAUAUAGUUUUAUUUACCACGGCGGACAUAUUAACUUUCCCCCUAUAAUAUAAGCUACAACACAAAAAUAAAAUAAUUGGGAAAAAAAAUAAAGUAACUUUACCUCUAAAGAACCAUCCUCCCCAUAAGGGGAUGCAUCAGACUGUUCAAAAGAAGAUGAAUCCUUCUCUGUUUCUUUCUUAAAGUCAAAAGGAUAUUCUAAAACCAGUUCCAGCCAAAUCCUGUUUGUUUUAGAAUCAUACUGAGAUAUUUUCCCAACCUGCAAGGUCAUAAAUGAAAUACAUAUUAAAUUAAACCUCUGACACAAUAUUUUUUUGUAAUGUAAUUCAAAAGCAAACUUGACAUGUACCCUAAAGGAGGAAAGUUCAGGAGUGAAAGAUGCUGAUAACUCGAUCAAUCGAUAAGCAAUUACAUCGCCCUCCUACAGUGUAUGAUUAGGUUAUUAAAAAGCACCAAAUGAGUACCAUGCAAUGUAAUUUACAGAUUCAAAGCCCAAAAUACAGAUAAGUUGAAUGGUUAACCAGAAGCUGAAAGAACUCCUAACUCAGCCAUGGGUUAAUUGUCAACUACUCUAAGCAGAAUGAGAAUUGCCAUAAAUACACAUCAGUUAGGGAGAAUGAAAGAAAAACACCUUAGGCAAACCGGUAAAAGGUUGAAGCUUAUCAAAAUCUACUACAUUGAAAGUGGGUUCCUUUUCAGCAUUUUGAACUGUAGACUCUUGACUGGAAUGCCCGUAGCCAUCAUGUUUAUGGAAUGACAUUCUCUCUUUACCCCAUUUCUGGCCCUUCUUCUUGUUAGUGAUUCCAUUCCACUGAAAUGUUUCCUGAGAGGUCCAGAUCUCUAUCUUAUGCAAGGUUUUGACAAUAAUGCAAAUCUAACAUGGAAAUACAAUUGUGCACCAAAAAAUUUGAGUAGUUACUCAACAUGGUAAGUUCUAGAACUUCGAGCUAUUAACCUUUUAGUGAGAAUCAAUAUAUGGAUUACAUUACAUGGUUCAAAUGCCACAAUUUAUAACAAGUCACACUGAUUCCUCUAAAAUUUUCAAUCAAAAAAUAAUCCUAAAGAAUUUUGUUAGCUUCCUCCCACAUCUCUGAUAUCUAUCAGGCCUCUAAGAAAAGGCUGUUCAGUAAAUUUUGUACUUCCCAAUCAAAAGUCACUUCCAAGAGAAAUAUUCUUUAUCCUCCAUCAAACAUUAAAGUCUAAAAAGCCAGAAGUUCAAAUGCAAAUAUAAUAUGAUGCAUAGUACAUUUUUUUUGGCAUAAUUAACAAUAUCACUGAUUUAUUGACUAAUUUAUGAUUGAGGGUAAAACGCAGCUGAAAUUGUUAAUCUUUUAUUGAGGGAAAUCAAACCAACCACUGGAAACUGAUUCUGCGGUACUGCCUGAUCUUGAUCUGCAUUAAAUAGACCAUUGGACAUAUAUUAGAUCGUGAAAGCAAUUAAUUUCUACUUCAUAAAUCUUUGUAGAUGAGAUCUUCAUUCAGACCUUUCUUAAGGGGCUCAAACCGUAUGUGCCCUGGUCUAAUUUCCACAGGAACAAUGUCAUCAUCUUCACUCUCUUCGUCGGAUUGUUGAUGUUCAUCAGAUUGUUGAUGUUCAUCAGAUUGUUGAUGUUCCUCAGAUUGUUGAUGUACAUCAGAAGCAACACAGCUAUUAUCUUUGAUAGGUAAUACUUGUCCGUCUUUUUCAAGCACUGUAGUCUGGCGGAGCUGCCAAUUUGAGAAGAACAUUUCCUUUCAGAGAGAAUGGUAAUACAUUUUGUGAAUGGUAAGGCUAGACAAAUGACCUUCAAGACAACAGAUGAAUGUUUUCAACCCUUUCAAACUAUGUGGCCUAGGCAUCUUACUAACCAAAAAAAGUCGAUAACUCAACAAUAUAAAAAAGAGCUAGUGAAUCCAUAAGAACUGUUAUCCAGGUCAUGGGAAAUGGCAGCAAGACAACAAUUCAUUACAUAUCAUAUAGAGAAUGAUGUGCAAGAAAAUGGCAGAAACCACAUAACAGUUGAAAUAUAUAAUGCAUUUGCUAAAUGCAAAAAGAAUUCCCUAAAUUAACUCAAAACUUCAAUUAGCCAGAUCGAGAUUAGCCAGAGAUGACAAGAGGAUGGAAGAGAUGAACAAACAUCAAUGAAGGUGUUGAGUCUUUCCUUGAUCCUUAUGUCAUUACUACAAACAACGUCAUGAUUGAAAACCCUAGGAAUUCCAAAGCAAAAUAGCACUGCAAUAUAAACUAUUUAAGAACACUGUUCGUUAGAUCCAAUCUCAUAUAAAAGGUGAUAUCUUCAGCAUUAUAGAACCAAUUGACCUUUUCCUGUUUCUCCUUCUCUAGCUUCAGUUCCCUCAGCCAUCUUCUUUUAGCUUUCUUCCGUCGAGCACUUCUGCUAGGCAACUGAAAAAUAAAAAUAAAACCAAUAAAAGUAAAGUGUAAAUACUUGCAAGUGAUAUGAAAUGUCCACAAAGAUGAUUCCUAAUGCAUUGAGCACUCCCUAAUAUUCAAGGGCUAUAGUAUACCAUCUUGAACUAAUAAGAAAAACAUCAGGCUUUUAGUUAUCUUAGGACUAGAGUAUUUCUACCGACCAAAUACUCAAAUUGGUCCUCUAUACGCAUGGGAAAUCACAUUGGUCUGUCAAAUAAUUUUAGAUAUCAAUUUGGUCCUCUCUUGAUUAAUUGGUGUAUCUUCCGAUUCCCAUUUGAUUAUAUAGUCAAUUUUGUUCCAGCACUACUGAUUAAUACAAAAGAAUAACGGAAAGAAGAUCUCUGAACAAAAACGUAAUUGAAUUUAUUGUAUUGUUUUUUAUAAGUACAAUAGAAGGCAACUCUUUUUAAGAAAGUGAAAUUUAAACCUAAAUCAACCUUAUAAAACUAAUUUAGUAUGGUGAGGUUUGAACCCACCUAUAUGUAUAUUAUUAUUUGGUCAUAUCUCUAGUCGAUGUAGUAUCUCUAAUGACGAGUAUUAGUAUGUAUUCUUCAACCUCUAGUGCAAAGUUUGAGGCCUCUCUAAUCAAGCCACCAAACUAUUGCCUAAACCACUAAACCAGCACUUUUCUCAACCACAUUUUUAAGGUUGCUUGACUAUUACUGUGCCUUUGUAGCUUUGUUUGUGUGGUUUACUUUGUCUCCAUCUCAUCUCACCAUUUAUCUAGCUAGACGGGAGAAAUGAGGAUCUCUUCAGUGAUUAUGAUUUAAUUUGGAUGAUCUAUUUUAGAUGUCUAGUCUAGGUGUUCAUGUGUCAUGUUUUGUUCUGGAGUGAGCACUAGGCACUACUACAAUAUUAUAAGUUGUUUUGUUUGUCACUUAUGACAUGUAAGUUACGAGUUUUGUACAGGUUUAGUUAUUGAGUUUCUUAUGCUUAUUAAUCCAUAUCAUUAUAAAUUAAGGCUUUAUUAAAUAUAUAGUUUUACAUGGGUUCUUUUCUCUUAUUUAUGUUAUGCUAUCUGCAUCUACAUGAAUUUUAUAUAUCUUGUAGAAUCUUGUGCUUCAUGUUAUUAUCCCAAAAAUUACGAUGCAGCAUUCCCUUUCCAAGUCUAGGUAGAAUCUCAAGUUUAUCACCGUGGUUCAAUGCAAACAGGAUACAUAUGUGUAUUCAAAAGUGGUGUAAAUUAAGUGUUACCUUUUUAGUUCCACUUUCAUCUUGAGGCUGAAUAAACCUAUACAACAUAUCAAAGAAAAAUAAGGAAAAACAUAUUUCUGAUAUUCAGAAAACAGACAUCUCAUCAUAAGGGGACGGGGAUUUAAAAUUGGAUCACAAUAAUAAGAGGAACUGAAGAAUCAAACAAUCUAUAAAAUAACAAAAUAAAAUAAAAAGGAAUAUUGUUUUCUACACCACCAAACCCCGCCUCUUAAUCUGCAAAUAUAUAUAAACAAAAAAUAACUAAGAUAAAAGAUCACCAGACAUGCUCGCCAAAAAUUGUAAAUAAAAUUAUAUCAGCAGGUUGUCUUGCCCGAAAUACCAAAUAUGCAUGCACUGUGAAAUGAACAAUCAGAGAAGGAAAAGAUGCAUCGUUGACAUGUCAUACAAAUCACUAGUGAGAUGAAAAUGGACCUUGUUUCAUCACUUGGACAAUCACUUUUGUCAUUCUUUUGCUUAUCAAGGUUGCUUGGCCUAUUUAGCUUGCUAGAUAAAUUGGAAGACUUCUUCUUGUCCUUCUUGACAAAACUCAAUUGGUGAUGCAUACCACCUUCAUUUUCCUCUUCAUGGACUUCAGGAAUGACUGGCAAGUUUUCAGAAGUAGACAGCUUAAUCUUCUUCUGACUGAAUGUCAAAGAUAAUGGAAUAAAAUCAGCAACCCAGGUAACGUUUACAUGGUCCAAUAACUACUUUCAAAGUUCAAAAAAAGGAAAAAGAAAAAGGUUUCAGAGAGAAAAGGGAGAUCCCUACUUAAUCUUACACUAAAAACCAAAUGAAGUUAAAAUAGGAGCAAAAAGGAAAAAGAAAAAAGGUUUCAGAGAGAGAAGGGAGAUCCCUACUUAAUCUUACACUAAAACCAAAUGAAGUUAAAAUAGGAGCAGAAAUAUUAAUACAUAUAGUACUGUAAUAACAUGGAUAGAACAUAUUUAAGGAAGCAUUAAUACAAAAGUUACAUAAAACUAAUUCAGAUAAGUAGUUAGUUAGGAAUCCUAUGCUCACAUUACUGCAAACGGGAUUAAUUUUUGGUUCAGUGGAUUCCAUAGCAUUGUGAGCUAAGGAUGUUUAACCAUUGCCCAACCCAUCAGAUUUAAUUUUGUUUAGGUUCCGUAUUGAUGCUGAAAUAUGUUAUGUUGUAUCAAUCUUUUGCUCUUAUUCUAAGAGCAAAAAAAGAAAACAAAACUAGAUAGAUUCCAUAACAUUCAGAAAAGAAAAUACCCCUUAAAAAUGCUCGGGGGAAAAAAAUUAUCACAACUCUCUAAGCUUUGUAGCAGUAAGAAUAUGUGAGGACAGAACUAACCUAGGGCUCUUGAGCUUCCUUGAAGCUUUUCGUUUCUUAGAGGUUGCCUUCCCAUCUGAUUUAGAUUCUACAUAAACAGCAUUUUCGUCAUCGUCAUCCUCUUGGGACAUGGUUUCUUCUGCUCCAGACUCUUCUUGAAAACCCUCAUUUGAAAGAUCAUUUGGGAGUUCUAUAGCUAAAUGCCCACGAGAGGCAGGUGACAGCGUUGAAGGCAUUGAAGGUUCAUCAUCAGUCCGUGUGCUUCCUUUUCUUCUCACACUAGGAAGUAUAACAAGAGUAACAUCAUAGAAUGCGGUUGAAAAACACAGAAAUAAGUAUAAACUCACCAGAUGAUGUCCUUAUCCUUCAGAAUGCAAGUGGACUCAAAAGAUGGUAUAACAAAAUCAUCCAUCUACGUUAAAAUCCAAUAAGAAAACGGAAUCAGGUUAUCCAAGAAAAUUCAAUCGUCAAACAAAUAUACUCAACAACACCAAACAAAUCUUAUAGUGAAAUCGAGAUGUAAAAUAAAUUUGUUUCCAGAUUGCUGUACAUGUACGACGGAGCAUGCAUGUGCAAACAUACCAAGAGGAUGAUGCCGCGGGGACAGGUGCGGUGGAGACGGAAAGCUUUGUGCAGAUGAGAGGCAACAUCAGAAAUGGUGCUGUGUUGGGGUUUAAGCAGAAACCAACAACGCCUCAAUCCUUCCUUCUUCUUUGACUUGCUCAGUAUGCCUGGAUCCUCAAACACCACCCGAAGUCUCACCGUCUCCGUCAUCCCCUUCAAUGUGGCGCUGCUGACGCAGAUUCUCCGGUCACCGUGUUGGUAGCUUCUCUCCGGUCUGCUUCUUAAACCCUUGUUAACUAUGUGAAAACUUCACCCCCCUUAUAUAUAUAUUUUUUAAUUAUUUAAUUAUAAACACAAAUUUAGUUGUUUGUAAUUCAUUUUUAGUCCAUUUUAAAAUUAUAAAACUUGUUUGUCGUUAUGUGAAUUUCUCACUCUAAUCUUUGAUUAAUUAAAGAUAUUUGGUCUUAACAUAAUAGUGAUUGAAAUGGUAGCAGUGUUUUUAACAUACAAUUGGGAAUAUAGACAAUGGAUUGGUGAGGAUUAGACAAUCAAGUAAAUCGUAACUAUUAAUAAAUAUGAUAUUUUUUAUAGCUGUUUUUGUAAUUAAAAUUUUAACAUGUACUAUUAAAUUUAAAUUUAUUAUUAUAUUUUAAUUUUUACUUUAUUUAUAUUUUAUAAUUAUUUUCCAAAUUUAAAUAAUCAUGUUAAUAACAAUCAUUUAUCCAUUGUGUAAAGAUGUAACCAUUGAUAUUUUAGAAAUGAUAUUAGUUUAAAAAUAAUGUCAAAUUGUUUUAAUAUUAAAAUAUUUUAGAAUAAAUAGUUUUAAAGGAAUUUUAUAUUUUAAAAUGUAUUAACUUUUUAAAAAUUGUUUUUCUAAAUUUUUUUGACUACUUUUGAAAAGAUGUUGAUUCUUAUUGCGAAUUAUUUGAUUUGGAUUUUUGUGUAGGUUAAAUUUAAACAAUUUUUCUUUUUGUCUCUUUUGUUAUAUGUAUCUAAGUUUCUUUCACUUGUAUAAGUCCUUUUGAUGAUCCAUAUGAGUCUCAGUUAAUCAUUGAUCAUAUUGGUAUGUCUCAGUCGUUAUUGUGAUGGUAGAACAUCUUGCAAGUUGAAAGAAAUUUAGUUGGUUAUAGUCUUGUGAGCUUUAUGGGUUUUUGGAUUUCUUAAAGUAUAUUCACAUGUCUCACGAAUGAGGAAAGUUGAUUGCACUGAUUUUUAAGUGAUAAAUAUUUUAAAUUUUAAGAUUUUAUGUUAAAUUGACUAAAUGAUUGAUGUGAAUGAGAAGUGUGAUAUGUUGAAAUAUGAAAAUGUUGUUUGAUUUGUGUUUUGGAUAUAAUUAUUGAGAAGAUUGUGAAAUAUGAAUUUUUCAUGUUUUAACAUGUGUGAUUUGAAUGUUUGAUUAUAAGAUGUUUGGCUGAUUUAAACUUAAUUUUGUGUGAUUAGGAGAACUUAAAUGUGAACAAUUGUUCAAAUGGUACAAGUAAUGUUUAAAAUUGUUUUGAACAAUGAACUAAGAAAUGAAUAUCAUUUUGAUCAAUUUAAUAGGUUUAAGUCCUCUCAAAAGCACAAAAUACAAGUGUUGAUAUAUGAUAUAAGGUUGAGCGACACUAAGGUGACAUUAAACAUUUUAUUUUGUAAAUGAGAUAUUGUUAAAGAAUGUCACGAUGAUAUUGAGUGUCUGAUUUUGUGAAUAGUUUGACAUUGAGCGAACAUCAUAGUGUCGGUGAACAAACAUCAAGGUGUUGAUGAGCCUUCUUGUACUAAAGGUAUGAAACAUUUUAGUUCAAAAAGACAUUGGAUGGAAAAAAUGUGUAACAAAGCGUGAUUUUUUUUUUUUACCCUUUUAGAUAAUUUUAGCAUCAAACACCAGUUUUAAGUACUAGUUUUUAAGUUUUUUAUUUUAUUUUUCUUCGGUUGUUUGAAAUAAACAUGAUAGGGUACGAAAUGUAUGUUUAUUGUAUUAUUUAUCAACAUCUGAUUAUAUUAUAGUUAUAAUAUAAAAUUAUCUAUAAAAUAAAUAAGUCUAUUUAAAAAUUUAUAAAAAAAAUCAUAUUUGUUAUAUUUAUAAAAUAAAAAUAAUAAUACUUUUAUCAUAAAAAGGAUAAACCAUACGGGCUUCACAUAUUAUUAUAAUAAAAAAAGUUGAUACAUAACAUGUUUUUUCACUAAUGAUUGUUAUAAUCAUUGUUCAAUUAAAAAAAAUGAAAUUAAUCUAAAUAUAAUAAAAAUUCAUUUCAAGUCGUUAGUUUAUACAAGUUUAAAACUACUUAUUCCUAUAAAACAUGUUUAUUAAUAUUCAUCAAAUAACAUACUUUAAAUUAAACAACUAAUACAAUUUCAUGAUUAUUUGUAAUGUUACAUGAGAUCAUUUAUUGAUUCAUAACUUUUAAUGGUGUAACAUAACUCCCACCACAUAUUCAAUCAAAUGUGAAUUUAACAAAGCAAAUAAAACAUAUAUUACAGUUGUAUUACACAAAAAUAUUCAAUUUUGAAAAUAAUACUAAAUAAAAAACAAGUUAUUAAACUAAAAUAAAAGAUUUAAACCAUAAUAUAUGAAUAGAGUGAAAUUCAUUUGAGAUGAGUAAAGAAGAAACAAAAUGAAACUCUAGAAAAAGAUAUUGUUACAGACAGUUCAAAAAUUCUUCCAGUAUUUUCUGUCUCAACUUCUAGGGAACAUUCUUUCAAUAUUUUUUAAAAGUUAAUUAUUGUUUUUUAUAAGAUGUUUUUAAAACCCAAAUUUAAAAGGUCAACAAAUUAUUAUUAUUUUUCUUAAACUCGAAACGCCAUCAGUUUGUUUAGCAUUUAGAAUACGCGUAUAAUCAAAAUAAAACUGUAUGUAUAAUUUGUCUUUUUCUGCAAAAUACGCCAUUCUUUCAAAAUAGUAGUAUAUAAAUAAUUUGUAUAGUUUAAUAUAGAGGGAAAAUAUUUUCAAUUUUGGUAAAAUCCACUAACUUGUUUAUGAAUAUACAUUAUCUUCUUUCUCGUUCCUUCACUAUAUUUUUCGAGUUUCUUUCUUUUAUUUUUUUAUUUAUUUUCACCUGCUAUAUUUUCAAGACGUAAUGGAAAAUUGAGAUAUUUACCUUAAUUAUAAGUUCAAUGAAGAUUACGUAUAGAUGAAAAAAUAAUUUUCUUAGACAGGAGUUUUUUUCACAAAAAAAUGGGAACUUAUAUAGUUUCCUCCUUCAGCCGAAAAAAAUAAUAAAAGAUAGUGUCAAUUUUGUGUGUGUUAAAGAUUAUUCAUAAUAAUAAUAAUAAUAAUAAUAAUAAUAAUAAUAAUAAAAGAAAUGGUGGGAUCAUAAAUUUUUUGUAUUUUUUAAAAAAGAUAAAAAAAAUAAUGUUAAAAAGUUAUAAAAAAUUUGUAUGUUUGAAAAUAUCAUUUCUCUGGUAAUAAAUGGGGAAAAAAAUAGAAAGAAAUAGCGGAAAGAGGUGGAUCUGAAAUCACAUGGGAGUCAUCCACAACAAGAAAACGUUGCUUUCUCCUGCGUUGGUAAGAGAAGCGGAACAAGCACUUGUUACUGUUCUUAGUUUAGUUAUAGAGAGAGAGAAAGUGGAGAGAGAAAGUAGAGAGAGAGAGAGAACCAGAAAGAGAGAGAACUCACUCCAUUCCGAAUCGGAGCAUAGCGGAGCUCCGCCACUCCUCUUCCCUCGGCAGCCGAGCCUCCAAUUCUCCGAUGAAGCGUGACGCCGUUGCCGUCGCCGUCGGCGGCGGCGGCGAUUCCUCUCCACUCCUUCCCGACAGCCACCUCACCGACGACGACGAGCACGAUCGCCACUCGUCCAAGGAGCGCGACCGGCACGUCUGCUCCUUCUUGAACGACGACCCUAGGGUUUCGCCUCACAACUCCAGGAUCUCUCUGUUUUUCACCUUCCUUCUUCUACUCGUUGGUUUAGUUUCUGUAUUCACAAUCUUCCAUAAACUCGUGAGUCCUCUCUGCCCGCGUUUUAAGAUUUACUAAUAGUGUAUUGCAUCCAUUUUCGCCUUUGGUGUGUGGAAAACGAAAUUUCUCAUCUGUAAUUUCUACUGUUAUUUUGUUUAUCUGAAAUUGAAUUAAAUUACCCUGGAAUUUGUAUGUGGAGUCAACGCACUAUUCUUCUUUCAGUUUUGAUUUGUAUUGUUCGGCUAUAGAGUAACUUCAGUUAUGAGUAGCUGCACAAGUAAUGCGUGUAUUUUUUUUUUUUUCUCAUACAAUAGUUCUGCCGGUGCAGUCAUAUAUCUCACUCUUUUUGGCAAGUUCUUAUGAUCGAAUUCGUGUUCAAUUUAUUGUAGAAUGCCCCUUACCUGUGUAAAAAGGACGGCAUUGUUCUUCAUUGCCCACAUGUAAGUUCUCAUAAGGACCACCACUGCUUUGGUUUCCAUUUCAUUUCCUCCUUUUCUGUUGUUCAAUGACAAUGGUGUUAUUUUCUCUUCUCAUGUCCUCUUUGGUAUUAUUUCCAGGUCAAGGAAUCGCCAUCUCUUUGGGAAAAUCCUCUCUCAUCCACAACAUCUUGGAGGCCCUGUGCCGAGCGCCGGGAUGGCGUUUUAUCAGGUUUCAUGGUUUUCUAUGUUCAUUAAUAUAUUAAUAUAUUUAUUUAUUUCACAUCCCAUUAGCAUUGCAAGCCAUGCCAAGACAGGGUAUUAAGAAAUUCAGUAAUGACGAUAUCUCUUCAUUCAGAAGCUGUGAAAUUUUAGUAUAAUUUCCAUUUGUCAGUAGCAUCGAAUAAGGGCGGUCAUAAUUGGUCUCGCAAUCUGAUUUUUUUAAUGGAGUGAAUGGACCCGUUAAGAUUUUUUAUCACUCUCUUCAUCCUUUAUCAGAAAAAGGAAAACUCUGCCAAAUUCUUAAGUUAAUUUUUUAAGAACUUUUAACAAAUCAAUUGUUUCAUUUAUUUCUUAAUUUAAUAUUCCCCAUUCAUCUCUUAUAUCUUACUUGGAUUGGAAUACAUUCAUACUUUUGCUGUAUAUGUUGUUUCUAGUAUUACUGCUACUAUUCAUAGUACUUUUAUACUUCUAUGUAGAGCUUCCUCAUGAAAAUGAAACAAACGGCUAUAUAUUCAUCCAUGCUGAGGGUGGUCUAAAUCAGCAAAGGAUUGCGGUAUGAGAUAUGUUCUUUCAUUGUGAUAUUCUCUAUCUUAGAUUGUUUUCUUUUCCAGUAUUGCCCUUGCAUGUGACACUUCACUGUUUGCCUGUAUUUUCUUUCAUAGCCAUUGUUCUCUUGCUGACUGCCGCACCUGAGUUGGUGAAUUUCCUUCCAAUUGUAAAAUAUACGUGAACAUAAUGUUCUUUGAAUUGUCUGAUAUAAUUAGAACGUAGAAGAAUAACGUAAUAACAGUACACACACACACAUAUAUAGAAUCACCCAAAGGGACUGAUUUAUUUUGUUAAAGUGCCAUCUCAAUACAUUUCCAAUUUGGUGCACUAGCAAAUCGCAAUGCCAGUAAAUUUACUGUUUUAAAUUGGGUCUUCAUGCAAAAUGGUGCUGAUUUCACUUUCUUGUUUCUUACAUUGAAAUGACAGUCUGUGGAAUAUUUAAUAAAAUUAUCAUAUAAUAUUUAGCUGUGAGUGACUUACUUUCCAAAUCUUUUAAAAUGCAGAUAUGCAAUGCUGUGGCUGUAGCCAAAAUAAUGAAUGCCACUCUUAUUUUGCCUGUUUUGAAGCAGGAUCAAAUUUGGAAAGACCAAACGUGAGAUCUCUUGUCCAUUUUUUUUUUCACGUUGAAGAUAAGUUUAGUUAGGUUGAAUAAAUAAUUUGGUUCCUGCAGUUGAAACUUUCUUUGUGUUAAUCCUUACAUGAAAAGUUCUGCAUUUUGGUCUUCAUGAAAAAUCAUUUACACAUUUUAGACCUACUGUUUAUCCUCCUCUAUUAUGGUUUUAAUGGAAUCCUAAAUUGUCUAAUGAUGUUCUUACUUAGCAAAUUACAUUUGACAGAAAGUAAUAGUCAUGGUUAACAAUUCAUCUAUUAGUUAUCUUGCCUAGGGUGUUAGAUUUCAGAGACGGUCCUCCGUUCUAACCAUCAUGAUGCAUGUCACCAUUUCAGGAAAUUUGAAGACAUUUUUGAUGUGGAUCAUUUCAUUGACUACCUUAAGUAUGACGUUCGUAUUGUACGUGAUAUCCCACAAUGGUUUACUGAUAAAUCAGAGCUAUUUUCUAGCAUAAGGUAUGGUAGAUUCUGGUAUUUUUAUUACUCUGUUGAAAACUUAAAUCCCCAGUUGGCAUGAGAGAUGGGUAAAUAUUUCCUUUUUUUCCAGUAAUGUUUAAACAUGAAAUAAUAUGUCCUCGACCACUCUUUUUUAUUCUGUUUUUAUCAGUGUACUGAUUGACAACAGGUGUGGUUGAAGUGCUGGGUUUUGUGACCACUGACCAAAUAGCAUGAAAAUUAUGAGUUUGAAGUUAGAGAUUCGUGUGCAUUUCUAUUUCAGUCUUUUGAACUCUUAUGGCUGAUAAGAGACAGAUAAAUAUGUCAAGACCUAUAUAGCUUUUUGUUGGUUUUCUUUUUCUUUCAUAGACUAGCUAUGUUUUGGUUUUGAUGGAAUUGAUCGUUCUUGUGUCAAAUGAUAAUUAUGAAUUUAAAUUACUCGUGAGUUAAACAUGUCCUAAACGGGUGAUGAUUUUUUUUUUUUUUUGUAAAGGUGGUUUUAUGGCUAGAGAAUACACAAUGUUCAGUCUAUAUUUAUUCUUUCAAUCAUGUAACUUACAUAUUUCUCUUAGCUUUACCAUAUUGUUACCAAUGGUGUCAACCAAGAUGUUUCUGAUACUUGGUGUUUGCUAUUGAUGCCUUCUGUGGUUGAAUACACACUUGUGUUGACUAACAAAGCAAAUGUAUCUUCUCAUUCAGACGGACUGUAAAAAACAUUCCAAAAUAUGCACCAGCACAAUUUUACAUUGAUAAUGUUCUGCCCCGGAUCAAGGAGAAGAAGAUUAUGGCUCUUAAACCAUUUGUUGACAGGCUGGGGUAGGCCAAUGGUGAUAUAUGUUCUAUGCCUCUUUUUUGUAUGUAAUUGAUUGUGUCAUGAUUUUUCAGUUCUUGUUUCAGAUAUGACAAUGUUCCUCCUGAAAUCAACAAGCUGAGAUGUAGAGUUAAUUAUCAUGCACUGAAAUUUCUUCCUGAGAUAGAGCAGAUGGCUGAUUCACUGGCAUCAAGAAUGAGAAACCGAACUGGAAAUUCAAAUCCUUAUAUGUAUGUGAUAUUUGUGAUCACAACCCUGACUGAGUUAUGUGUGAUUUUUUCUAGUGUCCAAGUGAUUUAAGAAUUUUACUGUAAACAGGGCUUUGCAUCUCAGAUUUGAGAAAGGAAUGGUGGGACUAUCAUUCUGUGAUUUUGUGGGGACAAGAGAGGAGAAAGUCAAAAUGGCAGAGUAUAGAAAAAAGGAGUGGCCUCGACGGUACAAGGUGGCCAUCAUACUUUUUAUCAAACCAAAAGGAACUCUAAACCUUCUAUUGGAGCAUUUUGAUAACAUUGUAUUUGUUGAAAAAUGCAGAAUGGUUCCCAUCUGUGGCAAUUAGCUCUACAGAAGCGUAAGGAAGGACGAUGUCCUCUAGAGCCUGGAGAAGUGGCCGUUAUUCUUCGGGCUAUGGGCUAUCCUAAGGAAACUCAAAUUUACGUUGCUUCUGGACAGGUUUAUGGUGGACAGAACCGGAUGGCUCCACUAAGAAAUAUGUUCCCUAAUCUGGUAAGGCUUUCUUCACUUCCUUUCUCUUGUUCUGUUUGUUUUUGAUGAAAAUCACAAUCAUUAUUAUGUAGUGAAUGAAGUGAUGUCAUGACACGGAGUUCUAAUAUCGGUUAAGGCUAUCAAGCUGUCAAGCUAUUAUGAAAUGUUCUCUUGCUCUAUAGAAAUUUAUUUAUCCAUUAUAAUAUAGCAAAUAUAAGUCUGUUUGAACGAGGUUGUCCAUAAGUUUUUAGAGGAAAGGAAAAUAAGAAGAAAAAGUAAAUUUGACUUCAUCUUGUCAAAAUUCAUGUAAGAAUUCCUUAGAUUCUUCUGCAACGUGUUAAUAUUUUCCCUUCAACAGGUUACUAAGGAGGAGCUAGCAACCAAAGAGGAGUUAGAUGGUUUCAGAAAGCAUGUGACAAGCCUAGCAGCUCUUGACUUCUUAGUGUGCUUGAAGUCAGAUGUAUUCGUGAUGACCCAUGGAGGCAACUUUGCUAAGCUGAUUAUCGGCGCCCGUAGAUACAUGGGUCACCGUCUAAAGUCAAUUAAGCCUGACAAAGGGCUAAUGUCAAAGUCUUUUGGGGAUCCGUACAUGGGUUGGGCUACUUUUGUAGAAGAUGUUGUUGUUACUCACCAGACGCGAACGGGAUUGCCGGAAGAGACUUUCCCUAACUAUGAUCUCUGGGAGAACCCUCUGACUCCAUGCAUGUGUAGAGCCUGAUUAGAGCAAUUUUAUCAACGACACUGGGACUUUAUCAAGAUGCAAUUGGGAGAAAUACGCCGUUUAAGUUAUGAAUUCUAUCUAUCUCCAGGGUAAACGUCGGAAUGCAGGCUCCUAGGCUCCUGUUCAAUAUAAGCUUUUGAGGUAGGAGGGGCAGUAAAUAGAAAUUUGAAGCAGAGAUAAUGGCUUGAAGGGAAUGAGAUUGGACUGUUGGUUAUCAUUUUCAUGAACAGAUUUCCUAUUCUGAGUAUUCUCUUUGCCGAGAUACCGGGUGGAUUUUGUCUUUUCAUCUAACAUGUAGCCAUUCCCUGAUCACUUUUAUUCUUCCAGGAAAAAAUGAUUAUUUUUUGUACUAAGAAAAUUGUGCAAAUCAUUAAUGACUUACAUGCUAGGUUUCUGUGAUUUUACGAUGCAUUGGCAGUAAAAUGUGAGGGUCAGGAUGAUAAAGGCUUUCAUUAUUACGUAGAGGAUUUGGCUCCUUAAAAGGGCCGAGUGUAAUUAAAGAUGCUGUUGAAAUUUUGAACCUUUUAUUUUCUAAAUAAUUGAUUAUUAUUUACGCUUCAUCUUUUAAUAGAGGAGCUAAAAAGUAUGAAGUAUGUUCAGUCACGAGAAAACUUAUGGAUCGGAUCAUUCAAUCGCUUAUGAAGAAAAAUGGUGUUUUAUUCAGGACCUAAAUGUUAACGUGAGCAGGCGAUAGCCAUUGCAGGUUAUUGUAAUGAUAGUAGGUCAAUAGAGGCGUUUUCUGAAGCCAGUGGUUGGAAUCGUGAAAACUCGAAAUGGUUAUGUGAUGUUUAUCUGAUUAUGAAGAAGAGAGCGGAACCAUGCCAAAAUUAAGGGUUGUUUCUGAAUGUUCUUUGCUGGGCAAGGAACCUGCGAAAAUAUCAUGUUCCCACAACUUAGUAAACGUGAGGCCAUACAUGCAUUAGUUUUACAACUCAACACGUCUUUUCUUUAUCUUUAUCUUCAUCUUAACCCUUUUACUUCUUCAGUUUAACAGUAUUACUCACAAAAUUUAAACAUCAAAGAAAGAAUCUUUAAUAUAUCCUGUCAAUAAUUAUUUAAAAUGUUAAAUAUUUUUGUUUUAUUUUCAGGUACAGAUUUUACUAACAAUUGUUAAUUUUCAAUGAAAAUGUUAAAGACAUCAUUAAUAGUCUCGAAGUCCCAACUGACGAACUAAAAUAGUGGAUAUUUCUGUUGGCAUAUAAACUCCGUUGAACUCUGACGCAACAGUGCACCGGAUAAAGCAAUCAUGAAGUGCUUCUCCUCAUCCUCCGUCUCUCUCUUUAUUUUCCUUUGUCUAUGUUUUGAGAGGUAUAUUAGCACGGCCUCAUCUUACUCGUUUCCGAUAGUUUAGUAGAUUGCGUGUUUCACUUACAUGCAUCUAAGUCUGAUCAGCAAUCGCUUUGCUCGUCUCAUGGUUUCUCGUUGAUUGCAAAAUUUUAUUUAUUACCCAUAAAGUUUUGCGCUGUUUCUUAAAAGGCUGUUCUCGUGAGUUGCUUUUAAAGUUCAAUUAUAGCAUUUCAUCAUCGCAUAUCUCUAUGAAAAUAUUUAAAUCAGCGUCUCAAUUUCACUUGGGCCCUGGGCACUUUUCCUGCAUUGAAAUCAACCCAGAUUCCAGCAUUUAUAUUGAUUGCCAUAAAUAGUUUAUUGAAUUGUUAUAAACAAGCUUCAAUUUGGAACUGUGUGUGGAAUAAGUUUUAAAUUUAUUAGCAAGCUUCAAUUUUUUUUCUAAUUGCAGAAAGUGGUAAUAAUGACUGGACUAGAUUGAAUCCUAAUUUGCACAACAACGUCCUAGUGCAAGCUUUCUGGAUGCCUUAAUCUUUGUGCCCUUGUUCUGUUAUAUCUAAUAUUGUCAUUUCAGUGUGUGGUCUCAAAAUGUGUCGGAGAGUGAUCGACAGAAAGCUAGCAUUCCACCAAGAGGUUGGAACUCCUAUGAUUCCUUUUCCUGGACAAUAUCUGAAGAAGAAUUCUUGCAGAGUGCUGAAGUAGUUUCUCAGCGUCUCCAUGAUCAUGGAUAUGAGGUAUAGUUUCUGUGAGGAAUUAUAGCCUGUGAAUGAGUUUGAAUAUGCUAGUAGUUUUUCCCUCAUAUAUAGAUAUAAUAACUUGCCUUCAAACCAUUGUAGUACGUUGUGGUGGAUUACCUCUGGUAUAGAAGGAAAGUUGAGGGUGCUUAUCAUGAUUCUCUUGGAUUUGAUGUGAUUGAUGAAUGGGGGAGGAUGCUUCCUGAUCCAGGAAGGUGGCCUUCUUCUGGAAAUGGGAAAGGAUUUUCUGAAGUAGCUAAUCGAGUACAUGACAUGGGUUUGAAAUUUGGGAUUCAUGUCAUGAGAGGGAUAAGUACACAAGCUGUGAACACAAACACCCCUAUCCUUGAUACAAAAACGGUAUUGCUUUGCAUUUGUGCCAUAAUUUAACUCUAUUUCUUUCUCGUUUUUUUAAGGAAAGAAAUCAGUCGUAUGAAUGUCCCAUUGAAUGCAUUUUAUCUGCAAUAGGGCAUUACAAAGCAGAAGCUAAGGAUGUUGUCUACAUUAAUCUAAAGUUUAACUUUGAUAUCUUUCAAUUUCUUAGGGAGCUGCUUAUCAAGAAUCUGGUCGAGUGUGGUAUGCAAAAGACAUAGCAGUCCCAGAAAGGGCUUGUGCAUGGAUGCCUCAUGGUUUCAUGAGUGUGAAUACAAAGUUGGGAGCAGGAAAAGCUUUUCUGAGAUCCCUAUACGAGCAGUAUGCUUCAUGGGAUGUUGAUUUUGGUAAUUGGACUAUUAUUUUACAUUCUAUUUUUAUAAUGCUCUAUCACAACAGAUUCAUGUCAUCGAGAGAAAUCUUAAUGACUUCCAUAGUUUUAUUGCAUCUGACCAAUAAGUUUGGAUAAGUAAAGAAAGCAUUUGUAUUUAUUUCUGGUACAGUAAUUGUAUAUUUUUUUUUCGUUAAGAUCAUUGUUGAGACUUCAUUAGGUCGGCUAGGUGUUUAAUGGUCUCAUAAACUUGACUUAAAAGUUUCAUAUCUUAUCAUAUCGCUGUAGAUUGCCUAUGUGUUCAUACUUUAAUUCAGGGGUUAUGCUAAACCAACAGAAAGUACUCAAAACUAUAUCAUGUAAUUCAGAGGUUAUGUCUUUCAUUGACGGCUAUUUUAACAGCUUUUCUACUUUCCACGCAGUGAAACAUGACUGUGUAUUCGGGGAUGACUUUGAUUUAAAUGAAAUAACCUAUGUUUCUGAGGUAUUCUGGAGUUCUCCUGUCCUCCUACCUUCCAUUCCCCUUAUUCUCAUCUGAAAACCGAUAUUGGUAAUAUCAUGGAAGAUCUUUUGGAAGCUACUAAUUACUUGUCAUUUCAUCUAGGUUCUCAAGCAGUUUGAUCGCCCCAUUGUAUAUUCUUUGUCUCCUGGAACUAGUGUGACACCAGCCAUGGCCAAGGAUGUCCUUGGAAUGGUCAAUAUGUAUCGUGUAACAGGAGAUGACUGGGAUACAUGGGGGGAUGUCAAAUCACAUUUUGAUAUUGCCAGGUGGUUACAUUGUUAUAUUUUAGUUCUGACACAUUUCUAUCUGCCUUUAGAGUACCUCGAUAAUAUUUUAUUUCUGAAUCCCUGGUCUGUUAUUCCAUCAUUAUAUCAUAUAACUUUAGUUAUUUGAUUCUAUCAGGGAUUUCUCAAAUGCUAAUAUGAUAGGAGCAAAAGGUUUAACGGGGAAAUCUUGGCCUGAUUUGGAUAUGCUACCCUUUGGAUGGCUAACUGAUCCUGGUAAUGAGGCCGGGCUGCUACUUUUUCUCUGUCGUGUAUUAAUAUGAUAACCCUUGUACUUUUAAUCAGUUAGCUACCAACAAUGUGAUUAUGGACAGAAUUACUUCUGUUUUCAGUAAUCAUUUAUCCUUCCUCUAUCUUCUGCCCUUUUUGUUGUUUUAAGCAAAUAACUUUUAUGUGAAACCAGAAUCCGGUGGCAUUGUAAGCAUUUGUCUGCAUAUAGAUUUACUCUUCUAUGAAGAGGACAUUGCUGGUUCACUGAAACUGUUAGAUUAGUAAACCCAAGAUACUCAGCAGUCUCGUCGUGGAAAAUUGCCACAAGCUGUUUAAAUUUAGACUCACGGGAAAAAUGGAUUAUGAUACUGCAUUUUCACUUUUUCUUUGUUUUUGGAAGGUUCAAAUGAAGGUCCACAUAGGUUUAGUCGUCUCAAUCUGGAAGAAAAGAAGACACAGGUAUUUCUACAAGCACAGCUACGUUUUUUUCUGAUAUAUUCCUGUGCUAACUUUAAUUUGCUUAUAACUGUAUAUCCAUUAUCAAUAUAGAGUGAGUGAAUGUCUUUCUACCCUGUAGAUGACUCUUUGGUCUAUGGCAAAGUCUCCCCUUAUGUAUGGUGGGGAUGUUCGGAAGAUUGAUCCUAGUACAUAUGAUAUUAUCACAAAUCCCACCCUUCUCGAGAUUAAUUCUUUUAGCUCAAAUAAUAUGGAGGUAUGUGAGCCAUCUAAAUAUUUUGGUGUAAUAAUAUUUUGAUCAAAUUAGUAUCAUAUUUACUUUGCCGCAUUGGCAGUUUCCUUAUAUCACAACUGUGAAGAGUGAAGAUCAGGAUCUUAGUUUGAGAAGAAGUGGCAAAGAAAUAAAAACAACUUUCACCCAUUCAUUAGGCCUCACAAAGUGCACCGAGUCAAAGGCAAUAGGUUGGGCUAGUGAAAGGCUUAACCUAUAUCUUGAAAGAAUAUGUUGGAAAAGGAGUUUAGGAAACAAGCAUCUUGCCCCCUUCUGUGUGCUCAAAAGAGAACUCUACUUCCCAUUGUAAUCUUGCUUAUCUUUCUAUGUUCCAUUUUUCCUAAUUCUGGUAUGAAUAAUAAUGUUGUUAACAACAGAAAUUGGUACUUGGAUACUGAUACAGAGAUGAAGUGAGUAUGUAUCAAGAGUAUCAUCAUGGCAAACAUCAUUUAGUUGCAACAAACAGAUUAAAGUUUUGCUUGGAUGCUUCUCCAAAACGCAAGCUCACCUCUAAAGAGUUCAAGAGAGGGACAUUUUCUCCCUGCAGGUGGGAUUCAAAUCAGGUAUGUUUAAUCUAUCUUUAGGUUUUGCAAGGGUGCAUGUUACCCCAGUUUGUAGUUUUUGCAAUUUUGUUUGAGUUUUAUACAAUUCAAAGAUAGUCUUGCUUGUGCAGCACACUGCUUCUCUUCCAAUCUUAAUAUUAACUUUCGCAUGUAUUUUACAUGAAAUAACAUUUAGAUAUGCAUCUUUACAUAUAUAUAUUUUGUGUAUUUUGUUAUAAACUGAUUUUUGAGUCAUUCACAGAUGUGGGAAUUGAAUCCUAAUGGGACCCUGGUCAAUAGUUAUUCUGGCUUGUGUGCAACAGUAGAGUCCAGCGAAGGUGAAAAUUUGCAAAUACACUUUCCAGAAUGAUGUUUGAUUCAUGCAGUUGUAGAGUUUAUCUUGUUUUUUGUUCAUUUUUACAGAUACUAUUAAUUCCGGUGGCUUGCGCUCUUGGAUUGCUACAGGAAGAAAAGGUCUGUUAACAAAAACUACAGCUAAAUUUUGAUUGUUUUGUUUCUGCACUUAAUCCAAUCCAAAAAACUGCAUUAGUGUAUAUUUUGCAGACACUGGUUGAGGUUGAACUAGUAGCAUGUCACAUUAAAGAAUUCGUUGGAGUUAUUCUGUUCUAACUCUUACAUUUGUAUCUCUGUGUAGGAGAAAUCUAUAUUGCUUUGUUCAAUCUAAGUGAACAGAAGACAGUAAUGUCUGCACAGGCAUCUGACCUGGCUAAGUUUCUUCCUGCCAGAGACUUCAGAGACUUCAGUUCUUGUGAGGGCAGUGAAGUGUGGAGUGGAAAUGCUGUAGAAAUAACACAAGGGAGGCUAUCAACAGCAGUGGAAAUGCAUGGAAGUGCACUAAUUGUUCUGAAAUGCAGCUAAAGAAGAAGAAGAGAAAUGAUUCUUUGACACACCUAAAUUUUUUACAUUCAUUUGACACUAUACUUACUUAUUUUUUACUCUCUUCUUUCUUGAAAAAUUACAAAACUUUACAUUUUUUGGACCAUUUUAUCCUUAUAUUCUGUGUCAAAUGAAUGUAAAAGUCAAAGAAGAAAAAAGACAUUUCCUUUUUCUUUUUCUAUAUGGACAGAUGAAAUUCAAUGACAUCAUUCACCUAUUGAAGAAGGAUAGCAUGAUACAUUGACAUUCAUUUGACAUAUUUAACAAGGAUAAAAUAGUUUUAAAGUGAACUUUUAAAGUAAGUAUAUUAUGAUACACAUUGACAUUCAUUUGACAGACUUAACAAGGGUAAAAUUAUCUUAAAAAAGUGAAUUUUUGUAGUUUUUCAAAAAAGAAGAAAGUAAAAAGUAAAAAAAGAUAGUAUCAAAUAAAAGUAAAAAAAUUAGAGUUUGAUACAUUAACACGCCUAUAUGACAAUGACACAAAUUUGUCAAGUUUUUCUCCCAAAAUUAAUCUUUUACUUUCAAUAAAUAUUGGAAAAUGUGGGAUUCACCGUGUUAUUUAAGUGUAAAAGAAAAAAAGUCAUAUCAAAGUAUCAUUUUAUUAAAAAUUAUGUAUGUCAAAAUAUCAUUUUUCAAAUUUUUAUAGUUUUUUGAAAAAAAAAGUAAAAAAAGGAUAAUAUUAAAUGUAAAAGAAUUAUGUGUGUGUAAAAGUAUAUUUUUCUUCAUCUAUUAAGGGUAUUGGAACAAUUUUCGAAGAACUUAAAGAAACAAUUUUUUAACAUUGGCAAAGGCGUAUAAUUAAGUAUACAAUUAUAAGCUUAAAUCAUAAAUCCUAAACAACAAUCGUCCUAAAAAAUGGCAAAAUAUUAGCGAGUGUUUAAAAUCAAGUUGAUUAAAAACAUUACAGUGGAUCAAAAUUAAUUGUUUCUGAAUUUUUUGAAUCCACUCGGUUCUAAAUCCAAACGUUUAACUUUUCUUUUAUUGAAAUUCAAUAACAGGAUUAAAUCAAAUUAAAUCAUUUGUCAUAUUUAAACGGGUGUUGCUCCCUCCACCUCUUCAGGCAUAUCCUACACCUCCUCCUUAUUUCUUUUAUUUCAAAAACAUCUUAAUUAAUUUAAUUUUUACUAUUUAAUUUUUUAUCUUUUUUAAAACCCUAAAUUUCUCUACACCCACUCAUUUUCUCGUUCUCUGCACACAGAACCCUACUCCUCCCUAACUAGUUUCUCUCUUCCUCUCAUCUUCACGCAGAACCAUACAAACACCACCAUUCUUCUAAUCUUCCAUUUUCUAAACCAUCUUUAACACUCUCUAACCUAUCAAAACCCUAAAACUAUACCUAAUACAUCCUCUUUCACGUGUGCCUUCUUCAAUCAAGGAUCAAACAUUAUGUUUAUUGAAUAGUAGCAUUUCAAAGGACCAUGCAUCUCAUAAUCAUAUAUAGCCACCCCCUCUACUGUGUCUAGCAGUAUACACCACAUCACCAUGAUUGAACCAAUAAUAGUUUUUCAUAAUGGAAAAUACUCCCAACAACAAAAAAAAAAAAAAAAAAAACACUUUCUGCAGCCACUAUCCAAUCUUCUGCUUCCACCACUCCUCAAUUUAAUUACUUUUCACACUUUGCAGAUUAAUUAUAUCACACCUUGUUUAUUCCUUUCUUUACUUCAUAAUCUACACUUUAUAAAAGUUGCCCAACAAUUGCGUGAGUGCAUGUAAAAGUUUUAACUCUAAAUUCAUCGGAUAUCAAUAUUCGUUUUAGCUUUAGUUAAUUAAAAAUUAAUGUAUGUGUAAGGUUCUUUAUUAAAAUAUAUUUAUACUUACUAAAGAAACAUAACCAUUGUAUUGCAAAUUAUAAAAUUGUGUAAGUUUUUUAUAAACAUAGCCAACUAAAAUAUAAAUACAACAACAAAUAAAAAUAGUUUAGAAAAUUAUUUUUUAUUUAAUACUUUUUUGUUAUAAAAAUGUUAAAUAAUUUUUUAAAAAGAUGUUUAACCAUUAAUAUUGAUUCAAUCUCACUUGAUUUAGUUUGAUUCGAAGUUUAUAUUGAAUUCAAAUCAAAUUAUAUAUAAUUUUGUAUUUGGUUUAAAUAAUUAUUUAAUUAAAAAUUAAAUCAAACUAAACUAUAGACAUUUUCAUGCAUUAGUAUAUAUUAUAGGUUUAGGUGUAAUUUUAAUUUCUUUGGUUUCUUCUGUGAUUAAAUUUUGUUAUAAUUCAUGUAUAUUUAUUUUUCACAGUCUAAACUUUUGCAAAUUGAAUUGAAUAUUAUUAUUUAAAACUUUUCUAUUUAAAACCCAGUGAUUAAAAUCAUUAAAUUUGACUUAAAAGGAAAAUAUAAAGCAACCUUCUCACAUUUAAACGCAUUUGACUACUUCCAGAUAGUUUUCUUUUUUAAAGUGAAGUGCUUUAUAUUUUAUUUGAAAUAAGUGACGAAAGCCAUUGCAUCAUGAGCAAGAUUUAAGAGGAUUAAACUAAUUUGGUAUGGAAUAUCUUCAAUUAAUUAAUUUGAAAGAAAUGGAAAAAUUGGCUUUUGGUUCUAUACAUGUUUCAUGCAAAGAGACAUCUAAAUAGCUUUUCUUAAAAUAAAAGAAACUAACCAAACACUAUCACUAAAUAUUACUUAAAUAAUUUAAAUUUAAUUAUGUCGAAUUUUUAUUAAAUUCUUAUUAAAUACUUUUAUGUUGUAAGUACAUAAAUUUUUUAUACCUUUUAAGUGAAUUUUUAUUUUUUAAUUAUUUUCAUUAAAUGAGUGGUCUUGUCAUCUUAUAUAUUGUAUAAAUCUAAGGUUUGUAUAAACGAUAUUAGGGUUAAAAUAAAAUGAAUGUUUAUAUUUUAUUUAUUUAUAAGAUGUUCAAUUAUGAUUUCCUUAUAUUUUUCAAUGAUUUAUUAAGACAUUUUUCUGUCAUCAUUAAUGAAAUAAUUUUUUUAUUUAAUAACAGUAAAAACAAUAAAAGUUAUUUAUUAUUUAUAUUAAUUAUAUUACUAUUUUAUAUUAUUCACAAAACUUUAUAUUUUUAACACGUAUUAACAAAAGUAAACUAUACGAUUCAAUUAAAAAAAAUGUAUAUUCAAUAAACAAACAAAAAUUAAUAAAAACUCAAUUAGAAAUUCUUGAAUUCAUUAUAAAUUUAAAACUUAAUUGAAUCUAACAAAUGAUUUAUUUAUUAUUGUAUGUAAGUAACGUGAAUCAUUAUAAAUGUAAAAUUAUUAAUGAUUUUUAAUGUUAGAUUAAUUAUAUAUUAAUUUUAAUUUUUUUUAAUAAAAACAUAUAAAUAAUUACUAAAAAUAUAUUCAAUUGUUUUAAUUAUUAACAAAAUUGAGGAAUUUAUAUGAAAAUUAUAUUUAUUUUUUCAAUUAUACUAAAAAAAACAUAGGAGAUUUUGUUUCAUUCCAAUAAAAUAACAUUAAGGAAAGAUAUUUAGAAAAGUGAGAUAUAGAGGAAUUGGCGGGUUAAAGAAUUCAUUGUCUGAACCUUUCUCCGUUCUUCUCUUCUCUUCCGUUCCAUUUCCGUUAUCUUCUCCUCUGCAACAAUGGUAAAUCAAUGAUUUUUUGUUUCUUAAAUUACAAAAAUGGUUUCAUCAGCUGCAGUGACAGCAACCACCUUAUUCAACCCAUCAUCAUCAUUAUCACCAUCUUCUUAUUCUUUCACUUCCCCUAUUUUCCCAAAACCUAACACCUUCACUCCAUCCAAAUCCAACGCCGUUAACGCCCUAUGCACCAAACCGAAAAUCCGAUCCAACGUCGCCGACAAGCUAAACAACAUCGCCUCUGAGUUUACCUCUCUCUCGCAACCCAUCGACCGCGUCAAACGCCUUCUCCACUACGCCUCCCUCCUCCCGCCCUUCCUUGACGCCGACCGGGUUCCGGCCAACCGAGUCGUUGGCUGCGCCACCCAGGUAUGGGUGGUGGCUGAGAUCGACGAGCGGCGGAGGAUGCGCUUCCGCGCCGACAGCGACUCCGAGAUUUCGAAAGGCUUCUGCUGGUGUCUGGUCUGGAUUCUCGACGGCGCGAAACCCGAGGAGGUCCUCAUGGUCGACAGGGAGGAUUUGGCCGACGUCAAUGUCGGAUUGGGGAUGAGUCUCAAGGCCCACUCCCGGACCAAUACGUGGCACAACGUUUUGUUCACCAUGCAAACUGCCGCCAAAGAUUUGCUCUGAAUUCACUUUUUCCCUCUCACUCAAAUUUUGUAACAAUAGUUUUUCAUUUUCUCUUAAACUUGCCUUGGUUUUAUCGCAUGUUUGAUUAUAGCAAUGCAAAUUCCAUUCUAUCUCGAAUCUCUGUUUUUAUUAUGCUGCUACUCUUUAUAGUUUUUCAUUAUCAUCUUCUCCUCAUAUAUUUCAUAUUGCCAAAAAUUAUAUUUAUAUGACCGCUUUCCUGAUCGGUUUAUAGUUGCAUAUGCUUGUAAAACCUAGAUAUUCCAUGGCUGACAUGUUCUUAAAACAUUCAUUCACGUGAGCAGUGUGGCGGUAUUACGAUUGUGACAGGUUCGUUGGUGAAGAACAGAUAUGCAGAUGAUGAUAUCUGAUGUACACAUAUUGAGGUAUUUUAGUUAUUUAUUUUCUUUCCACCACUUGUUCUUUUGGUGAUUACAAAAUGUUGCUAAUGCUUGUGGCUGUAAAAAAAUUAUACUUUACUUUAGUAUGUGGGAUGUCACCCUAGAAAUUUUAAUUAUGUUAUCCUUACAUAAAACUUAUGAAAUUUAGAAUUUUAUCUUAGUAAUUAAUGUACACUUUAUUAAUUAUAUUGCAUAUUAAAUUUAAUUUAAGAUCAUUGUAGUAUAGUAUGUAAAUUUUGUCAGUGAGAAAUGCAUAGGUUUUGAGACCAAAAUAUUUCUUCUUCAUGUUCUUCUGCCGCUGGUUUUUCUGGAUGUUUGGUCGUUUUGUCAACAUGCCUUGUGAUGAUAUUUUGACAGUAUUUAUAUGUCCAAGCUGCACCCUCAUUUUCAGAAAUCAUCAGCUCAAUUUUACUAUUAUUUUCAUAUACUUUUAAAAAAAUAUUUUAUUCUAGUAGAUAGAAAAGGGAAACAGAAAAGUACAAAAACAUCUGGUGCAUAGAUAAGAUUUGUGGUCAAAUCUGGAUUAUGACUUUAUAGUCUUAUUGUCUAAUCAUCGUAGAAAUUAGCAGAAAGUACUACACAUGAUAAGCCUAUGGGAAAAUAAUUAAUUUUCCCAAAGAAGAUUUCACUAUGUUCAAGAUUAUUUAUAUUCACUAAACAAGGAUUUUAUUCAUAUGUUCAUAUUCACCUUGGAAACUGUGAUUGGAUUAAUAAUGUUCCUAAAGUUAAUUUUAGCCAACAAUAUUGUAUUUUUUUUUUUGUUAAAUGUUUUAAAGUUAAGUUUUUCUUUUAUCUAUUGCUACUUUUAUUGAGAAACGUAGUUAUUUGGCUGGUUAUUGAUUAAAUUUAAGAUAAAUAUGAUUUUGGUUCUUAUUGUAUAAAUCAAAGAUGAUUUGGUCGUUAAUAAGACAAAAACAAAUUACUCAAUUUUAAAAUAUGCAAUAAAUGGGACAAUUAUCUUUUGUAAGUCUUGUGUAAUUAUUUAUCGUUAAGGUGUAAUAUUAAGAAUUAUUUGGAGACUAUAUUAUAUUUCUUGACAAUCAGUUUGAUAUUUUGAGUUAAAGUUUACACCAUAAAAGUUGAAUUAAAAUAGUCCUAUAAAAAGCUGAUAAAAAAAUAAUCCUCUUGAAAAAUGAGUUUGACUUAUAUUUGAUAAAAGCAAAAUUUAUUUAGAUAAUAUUAAUUAAAACUAUUUUUAUAUGUAAUCACUGGACAUGGUAUGAAGUUCCAAAUAAAGCAAAAACUACAAAUAAUGAUACUUAGACAACAUUUUUUUUACAACAUUUGAACAUUAUUUACAUAUCAUUCUGUAAUUGGUCUAUGGUGAUAUUUUUUAUUAUUAUUAUUAUUGAUUGUGAAGUAAUUUUGAACCAAUCACAGAAUGACACAUAGAUGAUUUCAAAUGUCGUAAAAAAAAUGUUGUAUAAGUAUUAUUAUAAAAAAAUUACAUGUGAUCAAAGUAGUAAUAAGUGAUAGCUUUAGACAUAUUUUAAUAUAAUAAAAAAAUUGAUAAAAAUAUUGAAAAGUUCAAAAGGCCUUUAUUUUGAUUUGUAAAGGAUAAACGGUUCUCCUUAUUCCGUCGCCACCCACCUUAACUAUUUUAUUUAUUUAUUUUAUUGAGUGUACUGUUGUGAAAUUGGGUGAAUUUCGAAAUUAUAUAAUUUAUUUAUCUUUUUACGAAAAGGAUGAUUUUAAAUUAUGAAAUUUGGGUAUCACUUUUAAAUUUAAAAUUUUAUAAUUUGAAAGUUUCAUAUCAUUAACACUUAAAUUACUUAUUCGAGUUAUAUAAUUAAGUAUAUAUUUUAAAAUUUUAGAUAGCACAGGAAGUUUCAAUAAAAAUAAACUUUAAGAAAAAGUCAAAAAGAAUAUUUUAACAUCUGGGAAAAGAAAUUAGCCGAACACAAAACUAAGCUAAAGAAACUACAAACAAAUUAAAUUCCUUGCUACGCAGUUUCUUUAUGUACCUUCAUAAAUUUAUUAUUGCACUUCAUACCAAAAAAAAAAUUACUUUUGUCUUUUUUGGAAUGCACAAUAUGGAAAAAUGAUUUUUAGAUUGUGUAAUAAAAAAAAAAUUGAUUGUGUAAUUCAGAAGUAUUUUUUCUGAUAAAAAAAAACAUUGAAAAGUAAAAAAUAAUUUUCAAAUUGUAUAAUUUGAAAAUUAAGUGACUUCCAGAUUGUAUAUAUUUUUUCCUUAACUAUCUCUAUUUUUUGGAAGGCAUCAUAUUACACAAAAUGAGAUCUUUCUACAUGGGAGUGCAGGUAGAAAUUUACGAGGUUCUACAAGAAGCUGCAUCCUUACUAAUAAUGCUAAAAGAGCCCAUGGACCCGUGACUUUGAAAAGUAACUUUUAAUCUCGGAAAAAAGUUUUAAUAAAAAAAAAAAUUACGAAAAAGAGAAAACGACUCCACUGGGGAUCGAACCCAGAAUCUCUGGUUCCGUAGACCAGCGCCUUAUCCAUUGGGCCAUGGAGUCCGUUUGAUGUUAGAGUACGUUCUUAACUAAUAUUAAAUAUUUUAAUUCAACAAAAAAUUUAAAUCUUAAUUAAUCUGAAAUAUUAAUUAUGGUAUUACUAUUGUGCCUAACUUUACAGCUGAUUUGAAUUUUGUGUUCUUGAGAGCAUUGAAUAUGUUGGUCCCCUGACUAUGUGGUGAGUUUUUGGCUAUGAAUGAAAAUGGUGAAAUUAAAAGAAUGUGUACUAUGGUGGAACCACAAAAUGUACUAUUUCCCUAUCAUAAAGUUUACUUACAUUCCACUCACAAAUAUUCAUCAAACUGUAAAUAAAGUGGGUAGAAAUAACAUAACAUAUACUAAAAUAGUAAAAGAUUAAACAUUUUUUUCACUAACUUUUACAUAAAAUUAUAAUUAAUUUCUCUUUAAAAUUUUGACCGAAUUUAAUUCUUCGUCUCUAAAAUAAAUGGACUUUAAAAUUUUAUAUAAUUUUUAUGAUGUUUUAUCGUGGAUGAUAUGUGUCAUUAUAUAUACAUGUAAAUUACAAUUAAUUUUUUAAUUUAAAAAAAAAUAAUUAUUUUGGAUUGUCUACCUUGAAAAGUUUUCAAUUUUUUUUUUAAUUUAAUUAAUUCAUGCGUAUAAUGACAUGGUUAAAACAUUAUCAUUUAUGGCGGAAUCUCAUUAGAUAAUUCAACAAAAUUCUAUAUUGUUCGGAAUUAAAUCCAUUUAUUUAUGAAGUUGAAAAAUCAAAUUGAUUCAAUUUUUUUUAAAAAAAAACUAAGUUUAAUUUCACGUAAAAAUUAAAAAACUAUAAACAUAUUUAAUCUAAUAAAAAACAAAGAUUAUAUUUUUUAUUAUUUUAAUAGUUUUUUUAAUUCACUUAUACGUAUGUAUUUGUUUUAUUUGGUGAGUUACGUAUACAUUACUCAAAAUAAAGUUAAGUCAGAAAAACCCUAAUUUAACACUUUGUGGUGCGAUUUGGUUGAAAGGUUAAUUAGGGAUUAUAAAUAAAGGUAUGCAUGAGCUUUUGUGUGGUGAAAUGGUUGGGUCUUAGGUUUAUGAUGUUCCUUUGGUAGCUGUUUUUGAUGUGUUAGGGUUAUCACCAUAACACACACCUAAAUAAAACCAAUCUUCUAAUUACAACAAAUUAUGGAUUUUAAAUUACAAUUUUUAUUUUUUGUUUUUAUCUUCUACUCCUCUCUUUUCUUUAAUUAUUAUAAAAAUAUUAUAUCAACAAUUUUGAUGUUACAUAAAGUUGGUUAACCGUCCUUAUUAAAUGCUAUCUAUUUAUAUUAAGACUUUUAUAUAUUCUAAUACAUUAAAUUAGCAUUUGACAUAAUUAGGUUGUAGUUGAAGUUAAUACGUAAAUAUAUAUUAUAGUCAACAAAAAUGUCAACGUUUUGGUAAUAUAGUAUUUCUUGUAAUCAAAUUAUCAUUUAAUUUAAAAUAUAUAAAGAAAGUAAUAUAAACAAAUUAUUCUUCAAAAUGUGUGUGCUACUAAUGUUUUUACUAUAUUAUUCUUCUAAAUUACAAUAUGAAAUAACUUAAAUUAAAUUCAUUUCGAUGUUUAAAUAUAAGUAAGGCUGCUGUUAAAACUUUUGAUAUUUUACAAUUAAUUACCAUUUAGUAUCUAUCUAUAUUAAGUAUACAUGCAAUGAAUAAUAGAUUUAUUACAUUUUGUUCAAUUUAAAAUGUCGUAAAAUAAAGCAAAUUACUACGUUUGUUUACACUGUCAAGAAAAUUGAAAAUUUUGUCAUUGUAGUAAUGUAUAAAAUUAAAGAAAUUAAGAUGAUAUAAUCUUAUGGAAAUGAUAUAAUCACUACAUUAGAAAUUGUUUUUCAUUGAUUAUGAUUUGAAUAAUAUAAUAUAAUAAAACUGUUUUUUUUUUUUUUAUAUAUAUAGAAUCUGUUAAAGCUACUCCGAAUAGUUUGAUUAUCCUGAAUAAUAGCGUUUUUAAUGGUAAUUAUUGAGCAAAUAACAUUUAAUCUUGCUAUUUUCUCAAAAAACAUUUAUAGAUUUUUUCAUAAGUUUAAAAUAAUGUCAAUAUACGAAAUUAUUUAUUCAUUAUAAAGUAUAAUAACAAUCUAAUUCAUAUUUAUUUUUGAAAACAGGUAUUUAUAAGAAGUUUUAGUUAUAUAGGACAAGUAUUUAUUCGAGGAGCCAUCUGUUUUAAAAAUACACAACAAAAUAGUGAUUAAAUAAAUAAAAAUCAUAUUAAAGAAGAAAACAUGCUAGUAUAAAUAUAUAUAUAUAUAUAUAUAUAUAUGAUUUUAUUUAUCUUUUGUCUCCACACCCAUAUUUGUUUUCAUUUUAAUUUUUUUAAUUAAUUAGAUAAUAUAAAAAAAUAUAUACACUUUUUUUCCAACUUACUUUGAAGACAUAUUUGAUAUUUUAUUCUUCUAUAUAACUAUCUAAUAUUUAUCUAAUAGUAAUUUGAUAUUUAUACAGUCAUAAUUUAUUUUUGAUAAUUGAUAUUAGAGAAAAAAAUUGUAUCCUGACGACAUGUAAUCUUUGAUAUAUUAUGAUCUUUUUAUAAAUAAUUAUUUGGUUUAAUACUCAACUUUGUCCCUAGUUUGGUUGGCAAAUCUCAAUUUAGUCCCUAUUUAGAAAAGUGUUUGAAAUUGGUCUUUAUUUUUAAAUUUUUGAGUCAAAAUAGUCCCUUCCGUUAAAUAAUGACAAACGGUGUUAAAUUCUUUUUCUCUCUCUUCUCAUUUUCUGUGCAUUGCAGGUUUUUGUCAGCAUUUGCAGUAUUUAAUGAUUAUUGUACUUUUCCCAAUAAAAAAUAAAAUUUAAACAAAAACAAAAAAAUCAUUAAAAAAUUAAAUUUUUUAUUUUUAAUUUUAGAGUAAUUAAGAAAUAAAUACCUUUUAAAAAAAAUUAUAAAUUAAAAACAUAUAUUUAGAUUUAUUUUUAAUCAAUUUUUCAAAAUUUAAAAAAAGUACUGUAAAAAUAAUAACUAAAUAAAAAUAUUCUUUUAAAGAGAAUCACAUUUAUAAAGAAGUAGAAAGGUAUUUCAACUAAAUUUUUUUGACUUUAUUAUUCAAUAAAGGAUAUUAAAUUUUGUGUUUUUGUUUAAAUUUUAUUUUUUAUUUAGUUAUAUACAUCAUGAAAACAAAAUAUUAUUUAGUUAUAAAUCAUAAAAUUUAAAAAAAAAUAAAAAAAUCAUUAAAAAAUUAAAUUUUUUAUUUAAUCAUAUUAAAUUUUAUUGGGAAAAGUACAAUAAUCAUUAAAUACUGUAAAUGCUGACAAAAACCUGCAAUGCACAGAAAAUGAGAAGAGAGAGAAAAAGAGGGCGUUGAUGCCUGCACCUCUCCUCUUUGGACCUCCACCUCCCCAUCCCAUUUUUAUCCUUUCUUUUUUUAUUUAUAAUUUUAAUAAUUAUUUAUAUUCCUAUUAUACCCUUUAAUAAAAUCUAAUUUAUAGAUUAAUUUUAAUUCUAAUAUUUACAAAUAAACCUAACUUUUUUUCUUUUCCCGUUUUACUCUCUGGUUUUUUCUGUUUCAUUUGGUUUUUCAAAUUCUUUCUGUUCUCUUUUCUUUGGGUGUCACAAAUUUUAUUAACUGUGUGAAAAUUUUCUUCUGAGAAUCGUUGGCAAUUCUUCUUCUCUUUCCAUGUUAUGACAUGUGUGUGAAAAGACUUUGAGCUUCAAAAUGAACUUGACACCUAGCUCAAUGUGUAAAUUAGUGUAAAUCAAUCAACUUUAGGCUGUCGAGGGAGAGUUGGGCAAUGGAAACACUGUGAAAGGUGAUUGUCUGACAUGGAUUUGUCCAACAAAUGUUUAUCAGGCCCUAAACGUAUGUCGACAUCUGUCUGGCCCUGAAACGGAUGUUCAUAUCCGUCGACGGAUGUCCGACCUCCGUUAAUGACUGUCUUCUUCCUGUUGCGCGCAAACAAACCUCUACCAGAAACACAACACAAAACGAAACGAAGGGCGCACAAACAGAGCAAAAUGAAUACAAUUUAAAACCCUAAAUCACAUACAUUUACAAACCAAGAAAUGAACACAAUGCGAAACGAAAACUAACCUCUCGGCAGAAACGAAACGAAGCGCCGCACCACCGCCACACCACGCUGCACCGCCGCCGCUGCACCGCCGCACCACGCUGCACCGCCGCACACACGCAAGCAAUGACGCAAGUACAGAUAGACCGGAAAAGUUGAAACUUUUAAAAAAUCAAAGUGGAGCUUGGGGGGUGUGUGAAUGGGAAGGGAAGGGGAGGUGGAGAUGUUUUCGAAAAGUUUCGAAAGUGUGAGUGUGAAAGUGAAAAGUCUGUGAGUGAGUGUGAAAGUGAAAGGGUAAAGUGAAAAUUAGGAUUAGUUAAUUAAGAAGGUUAAAAAAGUAAAAAUAAUAAAUUUAAAAGGUUAAUUUUGUAAUUAAUGAAAAGUUAAAAAAAAAUGGGGAGGUGUAGGUUUGAAAUGGGGAGGUGGAGGCAUCAAUGCCCAGAAAAAGAAUUUAACACUGUUUGUCAUUAUUUAACGGAAGGGACUAUUUUGACUCAAAAAUUUAAAAGUAAGGACCAAUUUCAAACACUUUCCUAAAGAGGGACUAAAUUGAGAUUUGUCAACCAAACUAGGGACAAAGUUGGAUAUUAAACCUAAUUAUUUUUAUCCAUAUUGAUUCUCAUACUCAAAUAGUAUAGAAUUCUCAUUAAAAUUUGAAAAAAAAAAUAUGCCAACUCAUUUAUCAUGAAGACACACGUAUACAUUAAAUGUGAAAUUAAAAUUUACCAAAACAGUCUUACCUCAGCACGUUAAAAUUUAGAAUUUUAUUGAAAAAAAAAAGAAAAUAUAAUAACAAACUAUUCAGACUAAUAAAUAAAAAAAGAACCAUCUUUAAGAAACAUUCCUUUUCUGUUAAAAUAACAAACAUUCCCUAAUUUUUAAAGAUCGAUGGGAACAUAAAAAAAGAAAUUGGUCUUUUCUUUGUUCUGUUUAGUCACAACACAUGGCAGUUUGUGUGAAACAGAAACAUGCUAAUGGAUUUCAUAAUCUCAUUCAUUCCACCUUAAUCUUUGCCUAAACCAAUUAAUUAACAAAACACAAUCCCAUAAAUAACAUCACUUUUUAUUUCUUUAUUUAUUUUAUAUAUUUGUUUUGAAAUGCAAUCACCAAUCACAAUUUAUCUUCUCUUUCUCUCUCCACAAAAAUUAAUUUGUAUGAUCUAGUAGGAGAAGAGAAAGGGAACUCAAAACCCAAAACCCAAAGGUAAAAGAUGAAGGACCAUGUCCUUUCAUGCUGUUUAAACUCUAAAGAUCUUGUUUUGUAGUCAUAUAAACUCAGAGGGAAGAAGAUUCCAUUCUUCAUUUAUUUCUUUAUACGUCUCUGCCUCUUAAAAAUUCUUUCUUUCUUCCUUCUGUAAUAUCCAUCUUUGUUUUCGAUCAACCCCAUCAAACUCCUCGCACUUGGGCUGUUUUUUUUCUUCUGCUUUUUACCAGAAAGCCUUCCAACUUUGCUCAGAUCUUCGACUUCUUCCUGGUGAGUUUUUUGUUUUCUCUUAUUUGUUCUCUUUGUUGUUGCAGAAUCGAUGAACUAAAGUUGGAAGCUUCGAUUAGUAGGAUUGAAUUUCCCUAAAACAUGACCCCGUGUAACGUUUUCCCCCUUUUUUCCCCUUCUUUUCUGAAAUAAAGAUAAAAAAAAUGAUAAAUUUAGGAUCACGGGUCGUACGUAGCAUACAAUACAGCUUCAGUUUAGAGAUGAAGAUUCUGCUAAAUGAUUUUUGAAUUCAUUUUAUGAUGACUGGCACAAUCAUUGCGUCUUUAUCACGCUGGAGAAUUGUGCCUGUUUAAAAGCUUAUAAUUAGUUUCCUCGGGAGGUUUUUUCUUGUAAAUCCUUAUGUUACUAAAAUACAAUAAAGUAAUUCAUGUAUGGUAAGUUUUAUAUUUUCUCUUUCCUUUUUCUUCUUUCCUUUUUAUUUGAAUGCUUUAAUGGCAGUUUCUAUAUUUACAUAGGAACUGCCGCUUGGUUUUGCAAUUGUUUAGCCACUAAGUUGGGAGUCAUUAUCCUCUUUAUUGGUCUGUGAAAUCCGUAUCAUCUUCUGUCAAAGGUAUCACAUGAGUUGUCCAACCUAACUGAGUUAAUUUCGGAGGCUAUCUUGGAAAAGGCACAUUCUUUUAUCGUUCAUGGUUCACGUAACUCGGUGUAUUUCUUUAACGGCUGUUAGCUAAAUUUGGUUUCUUUGCCUUUUCUUCUUGGCAACUUCUAGGACACUAACCCACAGUGCCUUGUAGAGGUGCUCUUGCUUCCAUAACUGCCAUUUGAUUGCUAUGGUUGAAAACUUCAACAGAAUGGUGCUAUGAUACGUUGCCAUGCUUCUUGGGUUUUGGAACAACGUCAUUAAUAGGAGUAAAGUAAACUACUUGUGAAUGCUACUGGUGUGUUUGGGAUUUGAGGUCAUAUUGUAUACUUUGUAUUCCACUUUAUAUGAUCUUUUUUCUCUCUCAGAAAACAAUUAUCUCGUGUUGUCUUGACAUUAGAAUCAUUAUCUGGUUCCAAAGUUUUUAUGUUUCUUGUUCUUUCUUGUUUGUUCCUUUAGCAGGGUUUCUAUUAUUCUAAUUUAACAAGCGUACGUAGCUGUUUCUUAUACGGAGGAUACUUGCCAAUUGAUAAACUGAGGAAUAGUUCCUGCAUAUAGUUUUAUGAACAUACAUUUUACAGAAGUUGCAACAUAGAUGGGGAUCAUCACUCGAAGGUCUAAUUAUUUGUGAUAGCUAACUGUGUUUUUCUUACAAGAAAUUUUGUGGAUUCUAGAUACAGUCAUCGGCUCCCUUCAAUUGACAUUGGUCAUUUCCAUUUCAUUUACUGCAGUUCUGGUGGUAGAAAACCGAGUGAAAUUAUGAGGUUUUUUGUGACAACUUUUAUUGGUAUAGUUUUCGGAUUCUUUAUAGGAGUAUCAGUUCCAACAUUGUCAAUAACAAAGGUAGAGACUGAGUAUCUCCUUCCUCUCAUCUUUAUAGCAUACUCUGUACAGAAGCAAAUUUUUUCGAAUGGUUUUAUGUUGUUGAACUUGAUAAUGUUAUGCUAACAGUACUUAACAAUUUGUAGUUGAAUCUCCCAUCUGGCCUGCUUCCCUCCAUCGAUCUUUCCUACAUCGAAGACAGAUAUACAGGUCGCCAAGCAUGGACUUUUAUGAAUAAUGGUAACAAGAGAAGUUCAUCUCAAGUUCAAGCAUUAAAUGAUACAUCAAAGGUACAAUGGGGAUUCUAUGUAGUUAAGGAUCUAUAGCUUUUAUACUGUCGUUUUCAUGUUCUUGUUCAAAAUGUCAAUAUUGAUAAGAGCUUUCAACUUCCAAGAAUGGCUACUUAGAGAGUCUGUAUAUCUAAUUAUUUAUCAAUCACUUGCUCCUCACUCUCUUGCUUCUAUUCAGAUUUGGGUUCCAUCAAAUCCAAGAGGUGCAGAAAGAUUACCUCCUGGUAUUGUUGAAGCUGAGUCGGACUUUUAUCUGCGUAGAUUGUGGGGUAAGCCCAGUGAGGUGUGUAUCCUAACCUUGUCAUUUUUGUGCUCUAAAAUACUGAAGCUAAAUUUAUAUCAACUCUUCAUUUAAGUGCUACACGGUGUAAAAAGGUCUAGAAAAAGAAGUCUUUCAUAUGUUUGGUCAGAUUCUUUGCUUGCUUAUAUGAAAAAAAGCAAACAAAUAUAAAGUGGACAGAACUUUUAACUAAGUUAACUGUUGCAGGAUCUAACGUCCAAGCCAAAUUAUCUUGUAACCUUCACUGUUGGCUAUGAGCAGAAAAAUAAUAUUGAUGCAGCCGUGAAAAAGGUUUUAGUCAGUCCAUUCUUGUUUCUUUGUCUCUGUUUGCAUAUGCUUGCUCAUUUGUUUUUUAACCAAAAAUUUGCUCCAACAGUUUUCUGGGAAUUUUACUGUCCUUCUGUUUCACUAUGAUGGCCGAACAACUGAAUGGGAUGAGUUUGAAUGGUCAAAGCGGGCUAUUCAUGUGAGUGCUCGCAAACAGACCAAAUGGUAAGGAGCUAAGCUAUUCACUAUUUCUUUUAGAUGAUUAAGUUUUGUUGUGAUUUCUGCAAUAAAUAUUGUUUUUUGACAACCUAAUUCCAAAUAUGCUACUGUAUCGACAAUUUUAGCUUUUCCCUUUUAGGUGGUAUGCCAAGCGGUUUCUGCAUCCUGACAUUGUUGCACCAUAUGACUAUAUAUUCAUAUGGGAUGAAGACUUGGGUGUUGAGCACUUCGAUGCAGAAGAGUGAGUAUUGGAUAUUAGAGGUACCUUUUUUUUAUGUUUUUGUUUUAUUUUUAAGCCAAGUUUCACGUGCCUCUCUUGUUUCAUAUGCAGGUACUUAAAACUGGUGAGGAAGCACGGCUUGGAGAUUUCACAGCCUGGUUUGGAACCUAAUAAGGGCUUGACAUGGCAAAUGACAAAAAGAAGAGGUGAUCGUGAAGUCCACAAGUAAGAAUGAUUGGAAUGCUGCACCAGUUUUGUAGUGCUUCUCGUUACUUCAAAGAAUAUGCUUUAACUGUUUAUUUUCUUGUAUUUCUAUUAGAGUGACAGAGGAGAAACCAGGAUGGUGUUCUGAUCCUCAUCUGCCUCCUUGUGCAGCGUGAGUAACUGCUGAUGUAUAUCAUCAUUACAUUAUCUUGUCUUCUGAUCUGUAUAUAAUUCUGUUGUCACUGUUUCACAAAUGUAGAUUUGUUGAAAUUAUGGCUCCAGUGUUUUCGCGUGAUGCAUGGCGCUGCGUGUGGCAUAUGAUUCAGGUUGAUCGGUUAAUCCUAAAAUAUAGAUUGUUUUAGAAGAUGCCCCUUGACUAGUUGUUUGUUCUAUGCGUCUUUGACUAGUUGUUUGAUGUUUCUCUAAGCACUUGCUAACAUAGUGCAUUGUACCACUGGAAAUUGCAGAAUGACUUGGUCCACGGGUGGGGUCUUGAUUUUGCUCUUAGAAGAUGUGUGGAGGUAAGUCCAUUCUCAUAUUUUCUCCAGUCAUCUAAUUGGUGUAACCUUAGGAUAAGCACAUGCAAUGAAAAGAAAAAAAAAUGCCAUCCAUGCAUGAUGCUACGAGCUUUAAACUAUUAUACUUUUUCUGACAUAGCCUGCACAUGAGAAGAUUGGAGUUGUUGAUUCUCAGUGGAUUGUUCACCAAGGUCUUCCCUCUCUAGGGAAUCAGGUAUUUCCUUUGCCGUGAUUUCUCUAAACCAAACAGUUUUACCCAAAAAUGACAUUGUAAAAUGCUUAUUAAUAUUCCCUUUCUUUGCAGGGUGAAUCUCAAACAGGAAAAGCACCAUGGCAGGGGGUAUGAUGCUACUAUCUUUUACCAGUUCCAUUACUAAUGAUUCAAUUACUCUUCUCAUCAUGAUAUUAAUAUUAAAAGUCUAUUGGUAAUGAAAUUUGUGGAUAUUGAAUGUUGUUGUUGGUGCUAGGUGAGGGAGAGGUGCAGAAAGGAGUGGACCAUGUUUCAGACUCGGCUGGCAAAUGCAGAAGACGCGUAUUACAAGUCCAUAGGAAUUGAUACAUCUAAUUCCACUGCUCAUUAGGGGUACCACAGCCAAACUUGACUUGUACACAGAUAUCAUUUACACUUACUACUAGGCUUAGAUUUUUUUCUUCCUUAGAAAAAGGUAUUAUUCCUUUGCAAUCACAGUCUAGAGUUCUAGCUAGGGAUCAAAUAUCAAUUUCACAGACCAUCGCUGUACCUAAACUGAAUUAAUCAAGUGAAGAAAAUUGAUAUUGCGGCAUGAGUCGAUUGUGACAUGAUCCAACUCCUUCUUAUACUUAAUAUAAGAAAUAGAAACCUGCUUGUUCUUAUUGUUUUAUUCCAUGUCUUCUAUACUGAAAUAAAAUUAAAAAUUUCAUGUUAUCAUAAAGGUUUUUUUUUUCUUAUUUUUCCAUGAUAUUAAUACUUUCAAUGUGUUGACACACACGAAGACAAGUAGAGGAGGAGGGUCGUUUUCAGAAUCCGGUGUGGGGCUCAAAUCGGAUAUGCAUGGUUCCAUAUUUAUUUCCGCAGUACUGUUGUGAUCACUUCAUCACAUGUUCAACUCUGGUGAACUUUCUAGAUUGGUUUACCAAUGGUUCCUGUGGGACACUUUUUUUGUUUUUGUUGAUUACCAUCUGUUUAAUCAACUUAACUUGUUCGAGGAUCAAUCCAACAUUUUAUUAACUCUCUACAAUGAGGACAACUCAACCAGAUUCUUCCAUAUCUAACUAUAAAACAGCUCAAGACUUUUGGAAUUGGUCUCUCGUGUGUUGUCGAUCACGCGUUAACUGGUAUUAGUUAGACACCAACGUAAGAUUCACGAUAUCGUUCUCGACAUAAAAGUUCCAACAUUUAUUUUUCAUGUAAAUACAGUGGAAGAAGGUGUGAAAAUGUCGUCUACGACCCGAAAAGCAGAAAUCUUGAAAUUGCAAUGGGAAAUCAUGAGUAACAAAAGUUAAUAAAUCAUGAGUCACUUCUCAAAGGAUGAAUUGGUUUGGUUAAGAGGGUGACAUGUUGACGGAACUUGAAAACAUGGUCCCCACCACACUUAACUGUAUAUCUUUUCAUUUCUAUUCUCUACAUUCAAUCUUCUUCUUUAUAUCAUUUAUGAUUUAUUUUUAUUUUUGUUUCACAUGAUAGCAGAUACCACUUUGUAUAUAUGGGUUUCUCAGAAGGAAAAUAACUCUUCUUGGGAAUUAUGAUGAACGUACGUGUUAAAUAAAGAACACACGUUUCUCUGUUAAGAAUGUUUUGAGAAAAUUUUCAUACUAUAUAUCAAAUUUUCAUACUAUGCAUAUGGAUACGUUACGAGAAAAUCUUAUUUCUUUUAAAAAGUAAGCAUAUAACUUAUUAUGUGUGUAUACUUUUAAAGGAAAAAUUCCUUUAACAACUUUUUUUUACAACAUAUUAUUGGUUCGUUUCAAAUAUUCUUUUUAAAUUUAAAUUCAAACAGAUCAAUUAAAUGAUAACACAUGUUCUGUUAUAAAAAAGUUAUUAAAAAAAAUUGUUAAAAUAUCAAAAUCUACAUUUAAAUAAAAUAAUUUUCUGCUUUUUUUUAGUAUUUUUCCUAUAAACAUAAAGUUGUUUGAAAAAAAUUAUUGAUAUUCCAUCACAUCACUUUGUUUUAUAACAUAACAAUGUGUUUUUAAAAUAUAAAUAAUAUUCUUACAAUAUAAGUUUAUAAAUAUUUAAAUAAUGAAAAAUUUGAUGUACACGGAUAAUUUCAUGCUAUUUUAAUAAUUAUAUAAUAAAAAAAAUCCUUUUUUUUAUAAACGAAACAUAUAAUUUCUACAUAGUUUUAUAACUAAUUUAAAAUUCCUGAAAUAAACAUAAAACAUAGAUUUUGUUUCAACCUUUUUUCUUACAAUUUGUCAUAGUAAAAUGAAUGACACAUGAAUAAAAGCAUAACAAAACAUAUAAAAGGAAAAAAUAUUAUUUUGACACCAUCUUUUUUUUUUGUUAAAAGCCGCGUUGCCGCUGUGUCUUGUUUGGCAAUAAAGUCUUGUCAAAGUCUUUUGAGAAAAAGCAUCGCACACGUGUACGCAGAUACAACGCUAAAUUUUAUGUCGACCACAUACGUUACUUACAGAAUAAAUAAUUUAUAUUUUUCUUACGAAAUCAACGUAAAUAUAAAAAAUAAUAUUAUAAUAAAUCGUAAAAUGGCUCUGUGUAUUUUUAUUCGUAUUAUUUGAAGUAGUUUUUAAAUAUUAUACGAAAAUUAAAGUAUAGUUAACAUGUGUCAAAAUGAAGAAUGGUGAAAGAAAAAAUCUGAAGUGUGAUAAUUGAUUGGGGGCAAUGAAAGCGUUAGCUCAAGUUAAGAGCUUUCGAUGAUGGAGCAGCCGAAAAUCUAGAAACCUCGGAUUGGUGACACCGCAUAUCUCUCUGGACACGUGUCCUCCUCACACCAAUCCUCUUUCUGAUGCCAAACCCAGUUAUUCAUUUUCACAUACCCACGUGUUGCCACGCGUAAAUUAAACCCUUACCCAACCAUGGUUACGCCUACGCUUAUGGUUACCAUGUGUAGUUAAGGAUAUGUGAACCAACAGAGCUCACUAUAGUACAGUCUCUCUCUCUCUCUCUAUAUGUAUAUAAUAUAUAUCAUGUAUAAAAGACUGGAACACAACAUUUUCUAGUAUUGAUCAAAGAACAAGUGGGUGUGUGUAUGUUGUGCUGUAAUCGGUGUCUGAUUCUGGUCCUGUGUGAUGGGUCUGUCAAAUUUUCCAAGUGCAUCAGAAGGGGUGCUUCCUGUGCUGGUGAUAAACACGGUUCUCUCAGUGGCUGUGUUGAAGAACAUGUUUAGAUCCAUGGUCCAAGUUGUGGGAGGCAGUCGAAGUCCAAGUUCCGGUGGGAACAGCGAACAGGAAUGUCAUGAAAGUUCACGAGAAAGGAGGGUGUCGAUAACUCAGUUCAAGGCAUUGUCGAAGGACAUAGGAAGAAGAAGCAGUGACAGUGGAUGGAAGGGUGUGACCAUGGUUGAGUGCUGCGUUUGCUUGUGUCGUUUUGAAGGCAAUGAAGAGGUUAGCGAGUUGCCUUGCAAACAUUACUUCCACAGAGGCUGCUUGGACAAAUGGUUUGAUAACAAACACGCCUCAUGCCCCUUGUGUCGUUCCAUGGAUUAGACAUGUCAACAUCACACACAUAUAUACUGUUCUUCCUUCUGUAACCUGUUACGUAGCAGAGUUAGUUCUUCUUCUUGUAAUAACCUGUUACGUGUCUGUGUGCAUAUAUAUAUAUAUAUUUAUAUCCUGAUUUCUUUAGUUUGAUUUUGUAAACCUACUGCAACCAACUCAGUUCCUGUAUGUUUAGUUCUUAAGGAACAAAAUGAGAGAUGGGUUGUCUUUAAAUAGUUGUUUGGUUUUGUAAGUGACAGUGCUUGAAGCUUGAAGCUUGAAACUUGAGAAUUCCUUGAAUUUUCACCACUGCAAGAUCAUUCUGCAUAAUUUCAAUUUAAUACUUCUGUUCUGCCUUGUUUCUUUCAAGUUUGGAAUGGAAUAAUUUGAGAAUUUCUAACCUAAAUAUAUAUUUAAGGAGGAAUUCUCCGAAGAGGCUUCAAUUUCAGUUUUAAUAAUGGAAAAUUUCAGUUUUAAUAAUGGAAAAUAUUUUCACACCAACUUUUUCAUACCCUUAUUAAAAAAAAAAAUUAGUUUUUUUCUUCCAAAUAUUAUGUUUUUUUCUCAGUUUUAUUAUGUUUUUGUUUUAGUUUUUUUAAUUUGAAAAUUGAUGUGAAAAUAUCAUUUUUUUUUAAAUUUAGUUUUUUAUUUUUCAUUCCUGCCUAUUUUUUUUAUUAAGGAAUAUUAUAAAAGGAGGGAAACAAAAAUUCAGCACGACUCUUGCAAUGUGAAUUUGAGGGAGAUAUUAAUAAUUAUGCAUCACAAAAGUACUUAUUUGUCCUUUAUAGUAUUCUAAAAAUAGAUCAAUAUCAUGUUUCUCUUGAAAAAAUACCGUAAGAAUAAAAUGUCUUUAUAUCGUACAUAAUUAAGAUUUUUUUUUUCAUUUUCUUUUUUAUUAAUUUGAAUAUUGCAUCAUAAUUAUAUAUGUAGAACCGAAACAUAUUGACUAUUAAGUGGUGACGGUAUGAUUUUGAUGAAAAUGUGCACACUUAUUGGAUGUUAUAAUGAUUUUGUUUGCAAAAUUUUAAUGCCACACAUUGAUUUGCUUUGAGAACUCUUUUUAAUAACAUUUUGAUAAGUGUCAUCAUUUCAUUUUAUUAAAACACACAUAAAUAAUAAAUGAGUGGAGAAAAACGGAAAAUUUAUAAUAUUAAUUUUGUUUAUUAGAGUAUAUAUGUGUGUGUAUUUUUUUAGGGAGAAAAAUUAGUAGAAUCAGCCUAUAUUCAUUAAUUGAAAACGAAAUUAAAAAAAUAAAAAUAAAGGACUUGUUAAUGUAAUUGAACUUAUUAAUUAUGUAUAAAGAUUUACCGUCUAAAUUGUUUUUACUACUAUUUGAUCGGUAUGUGUGUAAAAUUUGUUCAUUUUUUAAUGAUAGAGCCAUUUGCGAAUUUUGACAGAAUUAUAUAUUAUUUUUUUGUUUCAGAAGAAUUUUUUAUAUAUAAUUUUAAAUUAAAUUAUUUGAAUAUAACAAAUAUGUUCUUGAUAGUGUGUGUUUGAUUUAAAUUACCAAAUACUUUUUAAAAGAACUAAUUAAAAUUAAAUGGUGCGAAUUUUAUUUUCUUUCGAUCCGAAUCACUCUUAUUUGGGUCGAGAAAGUUGACUUUUGAAUGAUGUUUUAACAUGGUUUGGGUUAAAAAAAGUUAUUUUUAUUUUUUGAGUUUACGAAAAUAUAAGGUAACGAUUUAUCUGAAACAAAUAAAUUAUAUUUUUUCGACUUACUUUUUAUUUUCAAUAAAAAGUUAACUUGUACUUCCUAAAUAAAUUGUUAUUUUAUUUUUUAUUCUGAAAAAAAAUAUUGUAAAUCUUAAUAUUGAUUGACACAGUGAUGACAAGUAUUUAAAACCAUGAAAUAAAGUUAAUUACACCGCAUUUUUGAGUCAGAAAUAAAAUCAAAGUUUAUUAAACAUCAAAAUUAUUUAUUAGAAACAAAAAAUAUUUAAGUUUAAGUAAGAUACAUUAAAAAAGUAUUUUUUCAAUUUUUUAAAUGACUAUGGUGAUAACGAAAAUAACAAACAAGAGUAACGCAUUAUGCUUAGAAAACAUAAAACAUAAAAAUAAAUUAGAAAAUAAUUUUAUUUUAGUUUUGAAAACUGAUAAAAAAUAUUUUAAAAUUGGAUUAAGAACUACUUCAACCUCGAAUUUACAUAAUAAGAUUUUGUUUUUAAAAUAAAAUAAAAAAAACUGACAACUAUCCCAAACGAACCUAAAACUUGAAAAAAACGAAUAUGCGAUUCCUCACUCCCCCAUUUUCAAUGGCAAUAAAAGAAUUUCCAAAACUGUAGAAAAGAAUAAUAAUUCCUUCCAUUGAUAAUUAAUACAUGAAUGAGUAUUCAUGGAAUAUCAUUUCUCCAUUAUUUUUAAAUAUUAGUUUAUGGCAUUUUUAAUAAAAUAAAUUAUAAAUUUUGAUGGUUAAGAUCUCAUUAUUUUACGGGAAAAGAUCUGAAGCCACUGUAUAAACACAAAUUUACAUCAAUGUUUGUAUUUUUCCUGUAGUUGAUGAAUAAAAAAAUUUCCUAAUAUUUUUAAAAUAUUUUAUAAUUGGGUAUAUAUUAUUUAUACAAAGCUUAAUACCUAUUUUGGUCCCAAUUUUUGUUAGGAAUAUUCAAAAUGGUCCCCAUUUUAUUUUUUUUGCUCAAUGUAGUCCUCAAGAAUGUAAUUUGUGUUCAUUUUAGUCCUUUUUUUUUGUUCAAUGUAGUCCUAAAGAACGUAAUUUCUAUUCAAUUUAAUCCUUAUUUGUGGUUCACGAAAUUUGUAAAAAGGAUUAAAUUGAACAGAAAAAGGACCAAAUUAAACACAAAUUACAAUAUUUAGAAUUACAUUGAACAAAAAAUAAAAAUUGAGACCAUUUCGAACUUUCCCAACAAAAAUUGGGACCAAAAUAGGUAUAUAGAAUGAAAUCAAUCGGACUACACUUUUCAACUACUUUUGUUGCAACAUCAUAUUUAUAUAUGAUAUCAAAAAGUACUCAUUCUAAAACAUGAAAUGAAUUGCGGAUGGAAAGUGGGCCGCGUUUGGGCUGACAAAGUAGAGUUACAGGUAUUUCUUCUUGCACCCCAUACAUUCUUCACAUGGAUAUGAAAAUCAUCCCUUUAUCCUAUUGGUUUAUGAAAAAAAUACCUUUAGAUAUUGCAAGUCAUUUUCUAGAAUAAAAAUAGUUUUGGGAUUACAAAAAAUAAUUUGAAAAAGUCUUUAGGAUUGCCUAAUCUAAAAGUUAUAGAAUGCAAAAGUCAUUUCUCGAUAGCACAGUGUGAAAGUUAUCGUUAGAGGCUAAAAGAGCUUCUGUCAUAGGACUGAAAAAACACUAUAUUAGAAGCAAACUGGUAGAAGAACGGAUUAAAAAUCCUAACCCAUUCGGUCAAAGGAUAGAAAAUGAAAAACAGACUAUAAUAAAGAUACAUGGCUUAAUUAAGGGUAUAUGAAUAGUUGGAGAAUAGCGAAGGUGAAUAUGAUAUUUUGCAUGCACAUGCAUGGCCGUAAGAUGGUUACGAGUAACUAAAUUUGUCCCAAAGACUUGAGUCUGGCAAGUUCAAUCCUUCUACGCUCUUGCUUGAUAAAGGCGUCAGCAUUUUGGUCUACGCUCCUCAAACCACUUCCAUGGUUGGCUUCAUCAGGGAGAGGUGUUGCUUUUUCUGCUACUGGUAUUGUCUCUUCUACGAUGCUUUUGAAGGCCACACGACCCUUCUGAUGAAGAGGAUGGCGAUCAAAACGCUUGCGUAGUGCAGGCACUGUUACUUCAUGCACCUCGUAAUCAUUCGAGGGGCACCACCCUCGGUAUCUCCACUUCAGGUUUUCGUUUUCCAUCUCCUAUAUACUUUCUGUUACUCACACCUUCAUCCUUCUUUCUUUAUUUUUCUCACCAUGCAUACAUAUAUAUAUAUAUAUACUAUUGGUGAAUUCAUUGGCUACUUUGGUUUUUUGGUGGAUUAUAGACAUCAUGUUAUUCUAUGAUGAUAAGGCAUUUAUCAAAAUAAGAAAAAAAUUCUGUGAUGAUAAGGCUGAAUCUGAUACCACUCCCUAAAGAGCUUUAAGCAAAAGUUAAGAAAUCUUUGAAAGCUAGUUGAAGUGGAUACUAGAAUAAUCGGCAAUUGGAUACGUCACCAUUCAAUUUGUUUACUUAUACCUUUUCACCAGUAAUCUUAGCAGUAUAUAUCUCUUUCCUGUUCUUGCUGAUUGCCAGGAGAUUAAAAUCUUAUCUCACUUUUGGGAAUACCUUUCAAUGCGCUUUUGUAUCAUAGGUUGAGAAGGUAAAGAUAAAAUUAGUUGACCUUUGUAUUGGUAGCAUGUGAAUUUUAUAGUUAUUGAUCAAAAAUUAUAUUUUGACACACAUAAAUUUUUAUAUUCAUUUCAUAUUUCAUAUAUUUCAUAUUAUAAUGAUAGACAACAUUAUAUUAUUACAUAGCAAAGUUAAGGAUAUUAAAAGUAACACCCAAACACAAAGGGUGGAAUCUUAUUGAAAUAAGAAAAGAUGAAAGCACAGAUUUGAUGAGAACUGUGUUUUAUUGUGAUUAUUAGAAGCAAAGUGCAUGCAGAGGAAGUUGGUGUAGGUGAUAAUUUAGACUCCCUUUGCCGUCCACUGAACUUUGUGUGGUUUGUAGUUCAUGUUGGUAAUCAUGUUCCUGUCAUAGCCAUUGGCAUAACAGGUUUCACCACCCCAGUUAUUCUUCUGGUAUCUCAUUUCACCAAACUUUGGACCAACAUGCUCCUCUCUGUAACACUCCUCAUAUUCAGUUUCCUCCGAGAAGUACUGUUGCCCACCAGAAUUCAACCUCCCACCACCACCACUACCACCGUAAGGGAACUUUCUGCCACCCCCAUGACGCGCAUAACCAUGUCCGAAACCAUGGUCACUGUGCAUGCCUUCCUGAAACAUUCCUCCUCCCAGCCUGUUCAUUUGCAUGGCUGGGUGCUGCUUGUGGAAGUUGUUGUUCUCAGAGCUCCAUGACUCUUCGUGGAAGAAAUAGCUCUCUUCCUCAGACGCACUAUCCAUCCUCAUCCCCGCAUCACCAUAGCAGUGCUGGCCAAACCCCAUUUUCUUUUGCAUUGCAAACUCCAACUUUUUACUUUCUGUUUCUGUGAUUUUCAUUCAACUCUUGCAGACCCUUUUUAUAGGCACUUCAUAGUAAUAUUAUAUUGAUGCAAAUGGGAAAAUUAUGAGAAUUUAAUUUGUCCAUUUUCGAGGGAAUUUUGAAGGAAGAAGGUAGGGUUGGAGUUGAGUGCGCCAUUAAAUUAUUGCUGCAGCUUUAUUCUAAAUACUCCAUGUUUUCUUCCCAUUUUCUUCUUUUCAAUUCCCCCAGAAGAUAUGGUUCAGAUUUCUGCAUAACAUUUAUUCCUUCUUUUCGUCAUUUAUACAUUUCAGUGUUCUUUUUCAAAGGAGUAGAUUUUGUAGUCUAAAACUGUAAGCAUGUACAUCAUAUUUCAUGCAAUCUACUGCUGCUAUACUCUUUCUCUUCUUUCU
rnacentral:lncRNA from 1 species